rnacentral:lncRNA from 1 species
UACGAUAUGCCCCGCACAUGCCACUCGUGUUGCGAGGUCUGACCUGCACAUUUCCUGGAGGGUUGAAAACCGGUAUCGUAGGGAGAACAGGCAGUGGUAAAUCAACUCUCAUACAAACACUUUUCAGGAUCGUUGAACCUGCAGCAGGGCAGAUCAUAAUCGAUGGUGUAAACAUCUCAUCGAUCGGGUUGCAUGAUUUGCGUUCACGACUCAGCAUCAUCCCUCAAGAGCCUACCAUGUUUGAAGGGACUAUACGAAGCAACUUGGACCCUCUUGAAGAAUACACAGAUGAACAGAUUUGGGAGGUAGGUUCAUUUUAGUUAAACACUGUCUGUUAUGAUCGGCAAUUGAAGUCUAACAUCAAUCAAUAUUGUGUUUUAAAGGCAUUGGAUAAAUGCCAACUUGGGGAUGGAGUUCGAAACAAGGCCGGCCGGCUCGAUUCUUCAGGUUCGAUCCUUCUAUCUUAUAACACACAUGAGUUUGUCUUCUUUUGCAUAAAUUAUACUUAGUAUGAUUAUUGUUGUGCAGUUAGUGAGAAUGGAGAGAAUUGGAGCAUGGGGCAAAGGCAGUUGGUGUGCCUUGGGCGUGUUCUAUUGAAGAAAAGUAAGAUCUUAGUGCUCGACGAAGCUACCGCAUCGGUGGAUACAGCCACCGACAACCUAAUACAGACGACGUUAAGGGAGCACUUCUCCGAUUGUACGGUCAUAACAAUCGCUCACCGAAUAACUUCGGUUCUUGAUAGCGACAUGGUUCUGCUUCUAAGUCAUGGUUAGUAGUACAGUAUGCUCUGCUCAUUAAGAUGGAUUCUUGGAAGUUCAUUUCAUUUGAAUAGAAAAAAAAAACAUUUGUUUUUGCAGGACUUAUAGAAGAAUAUGAUGGUCCAUCAAGUUUGCUGGAAAACAAGUCUUCAUCAUUUGCACAGCUUGUAGCAGAGUACACUGUGAGAUCAAAUUCUGGUUUUUGAUAGAAACUGGAUUGAAUUAGACGAUGAUGAAAAUUUACUAGUGUUAGUAAUUAGUAAUGUUUUUAAUUUGUAAUUGUGGGUGUUUUUCAUUGUUUUGUGCCAUUUUCUUUGGCUCCCAAUAAACGAUUUUCCCUUUUUUUGUGGUCCAAUUGUUAUGUUUUAUGUUGCUAAAACUUUUCGUAUGUGUUCCAUACUUGUAUUAUACACAUGUAUAUAAACAUCAGGGCGAUAGCAGAAAAUUUUGUUAGAAUGGUCGAAAUUAAAUUGUAAUUUUUACGAUAGUAAAAAUAUAAUUUUAUUAUUUUAAUAGUCUAACAGGCUUUUCCAACAGCUUCUUGAAUCGGGUCAGUUCUUACGGGCCAAAUGAUCCCAUCUAACCAAUAAACCUCCAUCGGAUGCAUUUGGUGCGAUUGUCACGGGCUUUGAACUGCGGCUCGUGACACUAGCACCACCUAUAAAAAAUAAAAAUUUAAUAAAAAUAAAUAAAUUAAUAAAUUAAAAACAAUAUUUUAAUCUAAAAAUGGUGACCUAAAUAUUAGUCCAUUUAUUUUAAUUCAUCGUAAUUUGAUCUAUGUUUUUAAAUUUAAGAAGUUAGUUAAAUUAUUGAGUUUGUAUAUGGAUUUAAUAAAUGUUGGUCUUGUAGUAAGUAAUUUGAUGAUCAAGUUUAAUGAUAGUAAAUAAUUUUGCCUAACUUUUUAAAUUCAAAAACAUAGUAAAAUUAAAUUAUAAUAAAUUAAAAUACAUGGACUAACUUCUAAUUUUCAUAAAAUAGAAGUGUGGAAUUCAAAAUUAUACUACAACCACCCCAAAUUUAAAAAAACAAAAAACAAAGAGUUAGCACAUUGGGUCACUUUUUUAGAUUAAAAUAUUAUUUUUUAUAUUUAUUUUUAUUUAAAUAAAAUUUUUUAUAGCUAACACCACUUGACAGAUAACAAUAUUUAAUUUUACUAUAAAAUCUAUUAUUCUCAUAAAUAAUAUGCAACAUGCACAUUUUCGUAAUUAAAUUCUAUUUUUUUAUUCAUGUGUUUACCCCUUGGAAGACAAGUGUCUGGCUGCGGAGUCCCACGUUUUGCAUUGCAUGGUGUGCUGAGUUGCUGACGACCAUGUUUUUGGCCUUUCAUCUUUUUCUUUUCUUUUUUUUUUGAAUUACAAAAAUAAAGUAAAACCCAUUAGCGCGAUUCGAAUUUUAAAUAGUUAGAAAAGUAAAUAUUUUGACAAUAACACACAAGAUUUGGCAUUUUUUGUUCUUUGAUCACCCUCCACCAAGUGACAUAUAAUAUGAAUAUGAGUCAACAACAUAAACAAUCGUUGAAAAGUGUUCAACUUAGUCCUCAAAGUAUGACUUGCAUUUCAAAUUCAUCUCUAAAGUUUAAAUUGUUUUAAUUAAGUCACAAAAAUAUCAAUAUCAUAUCUAUUAAAUUAUUCCAUUAAAUCACUCAUUAACUUCAACAUUAAAGGUAGCUCAAAUCUAGCAGCAGUAUAUUAAAACCCCAUAGGUCAAAUUAUAAAACCUUGAAUCUAUAUAUUAAAAAAAAAGUAAUUCUAUUAUAUUUUAUUGAUGAUUUUUAAAAAAACAAUUAGAUGUAGGCUAUUCAUGCUAUAAUUAUAUAUGCAUUUAAAAUUUUAUAAAAAUAUUUUAAAUACAUUUCUAAGUGUUCGAACCCCUCGAUAGGUUGAUAUUGUUCUUGAAUUAAGGUUUUGUGUCUCGACCUUGAAAAAAGCUCAAGUCAAAAAUGAGAUUCAUAGAGCGAGAGCACCUUGUUGAAUUAUGCAGAGAUGAUAGCAUGUGUCCUUAAAUCCCAUAUGAGGGGCAAGGGUUCAAACUGUCAGUUUUUUAUAUUUUCAAUGUGUACGUACAUUUAAUUUUGUUUUUUUACUUUUUUACAUAAUGACGCCACGUGAUAUUUAAUGUCUACAAAAAAAAAAUAGACUAAAAAAAUAUAAGAGAGGCACACUUUAGAAACCAAGUUGGAAAUUUGAGUAUACUUUAAUACCAAAUUUGGACCAAAAAAAUUUAGAUACCAAAAUAAGAAAAUAGGUAUACUUUAAAAGUCAAACCGUGAAUUAAACCAAUAAAGUUGGCUUUUUAUUUCAUUAUGCAAAGGACUGUGAGGCUUUCAUUUGGAAGCCAAGGCAUCGUAAGUAGACUGUCAACUUUUAAUCCAAAUUUUUAACUGCUAUGCUACUUUUUAAGGCACCAUUUGGACGAAGAAACAGUAAAUCACAAGGCAAUGCUGUUGGUUGAUAAGUCAUUCAUUUGCACAUAAAAGAGCCAAGACCAAGAGGAAUAUUUUUCUGCUUAGGCAGAAAUAGAACAUUAUGUUUCUUGUUUCUACCAUUUAAUAACACUUAACUUCGCAGUUUCUUUGUUUGUCAGUGAAAUGAGGCUACUGAAUGGCAAAAUUAAUCAAGUGCAAGCUCUCUCUUGGAGCCUUUAUGCAUUAUGAGCUCUAAAUCUGAUCAGUCAUUUUGGUUUUUUUCCCCUAAGAGACCAAAAUCAUCAGACAAAAGGACUUGGUGGGUUGCAUCAGUACCUGAUGUUGUUUAUGCCUAACUGUCCAAUUCUCUAAUGAAGAGGGGUAAGGUAAUGCAUGUAAAGAGGUACAGUGGAAAUGUACUGCAGCCAUAGGUAUGCAUUUUUCUGCCUUCUGUUCAAUCAUAUUCUCUGUUAAAAAAAAUUGGAAUAUAUAAGCUUGUUAUCAAUGUCAAUCAUUUUAAGCUUGUGUUAUUGUUCAUGAUCAUCUUUCAUUUUAUCUAAUACAUAAACGUUAUCUUUAGUUGUUUCAUUUGCCGCAGGUCUUGACUUGAAUUUCACCAUCAUGUAUUAUUCUUUUUUCCUCUGUCAUUUCAUUAGUAUUUGACUUAAAUUUAUCACUUGUAUUUUUAGAGCAAAUUUAUCACAUGCUUUUUGUCAUAAAAUUCAUGCUAGUUUGCAUGUUAUUCACAGAUUGGAUUGAGAACAGGAUCAUGAUAUGGAAUUACAGCAUGUAUGUUAUUUAAUCAGAUAUCCGUCUUGCAGCUGUUGAUUAAAGGUUAGUUAAGCUUGCAACUUCAAAAUAGCUCGCGGACCUACGCUCCCAACUGAUAUUAUAAAGGCUCGCCAGUUUAAGAUCCCAGCCUUCAAGACAGCUCUCGAACCUACAUUCCCAACUGAUAUUAUAAAGGCUCACCAGUUUAAGAUCGUAGCCUCCAAAACAACUCACGGACCUACGCUCCCAGCUAAUAUUAUAAAGGCUCGCUGGUUUAAGAUCGCAACCUCCAAAACAACACUCCCAGUUGAUAUUAUAAAGACUCGCCGAUCUAAGAUCGCAGCCUCCAAAACAGCUCGCGGACCUACGUUCCCAAUUGAUAUUAUAAAGGCUCGUUGGUUUAAGGCUCCAAAACAGCUCACGGACCUACGUUCCCAGCUAAUAUUAUAAAGGCUAACCGGUUUAAGAUCGUAACCUCCAAAGCAGCUCGCAAACCUGCGUUCUUAGCUGAUAUUAUAAAGGUUAGUUGAUUUAGGAUCGCAGCCUCCGAACAGUUCGCUGAUUUAAAAUCACAACUGGUAUCGAACAAUUUUCUCUGAGUCCGCUGAUUUACAAAUUCUUACGGGAAAUACAGUUUGCGGUAUUCUGCAUUACAAUUUUUGACUCUUGUUCCGCACUAUCGGCCAACAAAAUUUGUUCAAUAAGGUUUCAAGUUAAAACUUAUAUAGUAAGCCCUAAAUUACGCACAUCAUAAGUGUAAACUUGUUUCAGAAGAGUCACUUUAUAACUCUUCUUCGACAAGAUGAGGAAUAAAUUAUUAUAUUAAUAAUAAAAAUAACUAGACCCGGAAUCCAACUCCAUUACCCGACCUAUAUAAUAAAAUUCUAAGGCACGGUACUAAGGGGGGCUUCCUCGUCCUCUCUGCUUCUGGUUCUCUGCUCUUAGAGAAUUAAACCACUCAACCCUAUCUCUUUUCACAAUCAUUGAUCCAGUGCAUCAACACCUUUUACUAAAUAAAUUAUCACUUAAAAUUGCGUCCAUCAUGUUACCAAUUAUUUGUGAUUUAUUAUCGAAUCAUAUAAAAUUGCAUAUGACUUACUUAAUUACGCAUAUAUCUAUUUGAAUAUUUAACUCAAUCACAUAAAUUAUAUGGAAAUUUUUAAUCGAUUUGAUUUGACUCGAACUGAUACUUAUCUUUUAUUUUUAUUUUUUUUACAUUAGAUCGAGUUCAAUAUGAACCCUAAUUUGUGAAGCUGGAAGGUGAGUUUUGUUUACCUGAUAUCUAUCCUUCCAGUGGAGUGAUUAAGAAGAUGAGCAAAACGACAGUAGAGGUGCUCAUGGGCAGGGAGGCCCGGCCAAACGGCCCGCCCGAAAUAUGAGAGGUUUUGGGUAAAAAUAUAGGCCCGAAAUAUGGGCUUGGGCAAAAAAUGAGGCCCGUUUAGAAAAUGGGCCGGGCCUCGGGCACCACUUUUUUGGCCCGGGCCUGGCCCGGCCUGGCCCGAAUAUAAUAAAUAUAUAUUUUUAUUUUUAUUUUAAAAUAUUUAAAAAUAUUUUUAUUUUAAAUAUUUUUUUAAUUUUCUAAAUUUUUUUGGUGUUUAUUAAAAAUGGGCCGGGUUGGGCUAGGCCUGGGCUUAGGAAUUUUUCUCCGGGCCGGGCUUGGACAAAAUUUUAGGCCCAUAUUUUGGGUCGGGCCCAUCCUAGGACACGGGCAAAAAUUUUUUAUGGGCCCAUCCCGAACCUGGCCCGGCUUGGCCUGGCCCAUGAGCACCUCUAAACGACAGUGUCCUUGAGAACAUGGUUAAUGAGCACAAAAAGAAAAAGAUGAAGAUGAAGGAUGCUACUGGCAACGAUAAAUAAGAUUUGAUUGAUAUUUUACUUAAGAUUUAGUAAUAACGAGAUAUUGAGUUUUCAAUGGAGAAUGAUAACAUAAAAGCAAUCAUUCGUGUUAAUCAAAUUUAUGUUUGAUAUAUUGACCACGAACAAUUUUAUAUACGAUUAAUAAAUUAAAUGAUGACACAUCAUUUGAAAUGAAAAAAAAUAGAUUUAAUUUUACUAAUUUUAAAUGAUGAAUUUUCAUUUGAUAUAUUGACAGUAUAAUUAACAAUGAAUUUAAACUUCCAUUUCCAAUUCAUUAUAAUUUUAUUAUUAUAGGUCAAAUUUAAUUCUGAUGUUUGGAAAUUUUAAAUUUAUUUUUUACAUAAUUUAAUAAUCAUCCUAUUUUGUAAUAUUAUUAACUAGAAUUAUUUCUAUCUAAAGUAAUUGGUACUAUUUACCGUAUAAAAAAUAUUUUGAAAAUUAUUUUUUCAAUUAUAGUUAAAUUCCAAACAAAAGAUUUCAUUUACAGAACAAUAAAAAAUUUAAAAAUAUUAAUUCUGUUAAAUAGUAAAUGUUAACUUAUUCCAAUUUAGUCUUAUUUAAUUAUUUUAAUAAUACAUGGACUAAAUUAAUUCAUUUCAUAAUAGAAGGUCGAAUUUUAUUAUAUUCUUAUAAUAGAGGGACCAUUCAAGUACAUUCACAUUUUUUUNNNNNNNNNNNNNNNNNNNNNNNNNNNNNNNNNNNNNNNNNNNNNNNNNNNNNNNNNNNNNNNNNNNNNNNNNNNNNNNNNNNNNNNNNNNNNNNNNNNNCUGUUAAAAUAAAUGAAACUUCAAUCAAAUUAAAGUUUUUAUACGAUAAUCAAAUGCUUAAGGAUAUAUUUUUUUAAAUAAUUGCCUCGACAUUUUAAUAAAAUAGUUAAUAAUAUUAUGUGUUUAAACUAAUUAGUAACAUUAUAAAAUAUUAUGAAAUUAAAAUCAAAUCCGGAAUUAAUCACAACCAUGACCUAUUAUUAUAUGAUUAAAUGAUCUCCAAACUUGAAGUUUAAUGACAUUUUUGGAAUAGGGGUGAAUAAAAUUCGAAAAAAUCAAAAAAAAAUUGAAUCUCAAGUUAAUCGAAUCGAGUUAUUCGNNNNNNNNNNNNNNNNNNNNNNNNNNNNNNNNNNNNNNNNNNNNNNNNNNNNNNNNNNNNNNNNNNNNNNNNNNNNNNNNNNNNNNNNNNNNNNNNNNNNNNNNNNNNNNNNNNNNNNNNNNNNNNNNNNNNNNNNNNNNNNNNNNNNNNNNNNNNNNNNNNNNNNNNNNNNNNNNNNNNNNNNNNNNNNNNNNNNNNNNNNNNNNNNNNNNNNNNNNNNNNNNNNNNNNNNNNNNNNNNNNNNNNNNNNNNNNNNNNNNNNNNNNNNNNNNNNNNNNNNNNNNNNNNNNNNNNNNNNNNNNNNNNNNNNNNNNNNNNNNNNNNNNNNNNNNNNNNNNNNNNNNNNNNNNNNNNNNNCAAUUUUAUGUGCUCUAACAUGGAAUUAGUUAUAUUGUAAUAAGAUUUUAAUUUGACAUGUUUAAUUUUUUUAAUUUAAUUUGAAUAAUUUCACUCGAUUUGACUCGACUCGAUUCGAAAAAAUUUCAAAUUGAGUUAGGAUGCUAAAAUAGAACUCGUCAACUCAAUUAAUUUAAAAAAAUUACACUCAAUUCAAUUGAAUGCUGACCCUUACUUUGAAACAGAAAGUGAGACAUGAUACAGCAACAUUACACUGGGCCAUGUCUGAAAUAGUGAAAAACUCUCAUGUAAUGAAAAUGGCCAAGUAACUAAAGCAAGGAUCCACCGUGCGUCGUCAAACAGCCACCACCGUUAUACUCCCAUCUACUACCACCAAAGAAAGCAAAUCAAGCAAAAAAAAUCAUCAAAGAAAAAUACCCACGAAAAUAAAAAAAAGGGAGCAAGCAAAGAAGAAAAUAGGGAGAAAAGGAGAGCUCCACCGCACGUCGCCGUCGUCGGCCGUUGCACCGCAGACGGAGGAAGCACCUGCAGCAGCAGAGAAAUCGGGGGGGUGAUCGGGGAGGAAGAAAGAAAGGAAGAAAGAAAAAAAAAAGAAAAAGAGAAAGAAAGAAGAAAGAAGAAGAAGAAGAAAGAAAAAGAAGAAAAAAAUAAAAUAAAAAAUAAAAAAAUUUCAACAGUCGGGUCAAACCGACCCGACCCGACCCGAAUCGGCCGACCCGACUAACGACCCGACCCGACCCAACAGCUUCAGGCCCAGCUGUAGUAGGCUAGCCCAAAAAAAAAAACAAAAUAGAAAAAGAAGCAGCAGAAAAAAAGAAAGAAAGAAGCAGAAAAAAGAAGAAAGAAGCAGGCCAUUUUUGGGCAGCCCAGCAGGCCCAUUUGCGCAGCAGCCCAGCAGGCCCCAGGCCCACCAGCAGCAACAGCAGGCCCGGCCCGCAUGCACCAGCCCAGCAGGCCCAAAAGAAGCAGGGCAAAAAAAAAAGAGAAGAAAAAAAGGGAAGAAAAAAGAAAAAAAGAAGUUCAAUUUGUAGGACCCGUUCGACGAAAUUCGUGUUUCAAGAUCUUUUCGGUAAUUUCAUUUUUCAAUUUUAAUUUAAUGCUCGAAUUUUUUUUUGUUUUAAUAAUAUUAGUAUUUUGUGCAUUUUUAUAUUUUUGUAUUUAUAUUUUAAAUUUUAAAUUUUAAAAUUUAAAUUUAAUUCAAUUUUAAUUUUAAUUUUAAUUUAUUUUGAAUACUUUUAAUAAAUAAGGCAACGAAUCGAUUUAACAUGAACUCGUUGAUUUCAUCGCUAUGUUGGGUGAAUAUCACCGGUUCGCGUUAAAAUCGAUACGCCCUUUUAAAAAUUGAAAAUAUUCAAAAAAAAAAUCUCAUGGUUUCAAAAAAUUUCUAUCUUUCAAAAUUUUUCGUGUCUUCAAAAAAUUUUUCUCGUGUUUCAAAAAAAAAUAUUCGUGUUUUCAAAAAUAAGGCAACGAAUCGAUUGACACUAAUUUGUUGAUUUCAUUGCUAUGUUGAGUGAAUACUAUCGGUUCGUGUUAAAUACGAUACUUGCUUAAUAAAAAAUCGAAAAGUUUGUGUAAAAAAAAUUUCCCGUGUUUCAAAAAUUUUCUUGUUUUAAAAAAUUCUCGUGUUUUCAAAAAUUUCAGUGUUUCAAAAAUUCCCGUGUUUUAAAAAUUUCUGUGUUUUCAAAAAUUUUCGUAUUUUCAAAAAAAAAUUCGUGUUUCAAAAAUCCACGUGUUUUCAAAAAUUUCGGUGUUUCAAAAAUCUUCGUGUUUUCAAAAAUUCCGGUGAUUCAAAAUUUUCGUGUUUUCUAAAAAUUUCUGUGCUUCAAAAAAAUUUCGAUUUCACAAAUGUCUGUGUUUUCAAUGACUCUAGUGUUUCACAAAUUGUCAUGUUUUUUUUUUUAAUUUGCGUUUUGAAAAAUUCUCGUGUUUCAAAAAUUGUCGUGUUUUAAAAAAAUUUUCGUGUUUCUAAAAUUUUCAUGUUCAAAAAUUUCGUUUUUUUUAAACAAAAAAAAAAUUUGUGCUUCAAAAUUCUCGUGUUUUAAAAUUUUUUUUCCAUAUUUCAAUCGGAUUACAAUUAAAUAUUAAAUUAAACUUGCAUUUUGAAAAUUAUAACAACAUGCGUUUAACAAGAUACCAAUUUUGGCCGUCGCGAGGGUGCUAAUACCUUCCUCGCGCGUAACCGACCCCCGAACUCGAAUUUUCUCUGGAUUUUUACGUAGACCUAAAAUUACCUCUUUUUUAGAAAAGUUUAAAAAUAAAAUUUUCUUCUAAAAAGAUAAUUUUAUUAGGUGUCCGAUCACACCUAGGAAAAAAGAUCGGUGGCGACUCAUUUUUCAAAUAAAAUCACGACACUGUUUUCAAAUUUUCAAUAAUUACUUCGACUAGCGCCCAUACCGAAAUUUUUAGGUCGCUACAUAACUCAAUCACAUAAAUUAUAUGGAAAUUUUUAAUCGAUUUGAUUUGACUCGAACUGAUACUUAUCUUUUAUUUUUAUUUUUUUUACCUUAGAUCGAGUUCAAUAUGAACCCUAAUUUGUGAAGCUAGAAGGUGAGUUUUGUUUACCUGAUAUCUAUCCUUCCAGUGGAGUGAUUAAGAAGAUGAGCACAACGACAGUAGAGGUGCUCAUGGGCAGGGAGGCCCGGCCCGACGGCCCGCCCGAAAUAUGGGAGGGUUUGGGUAAAAAUAUAGGCCCGAAAUAUGGGCUUGGGCAAAAAAAUGAGGCCCGUUUAGAAAAUGGGCCGGGCCUCGGGCACCACUUUUUUGGCCCGGGCCUGGCCCGAAUAUAAUAAAUAUUUAUUUUUUAUUUUUAAAAAUAUUUAAAAAUAUUUUUUAUUUUUUAUUUUUAAAAUAUUUUUAAAAUAAGUUUUUUAAUUUUCUAAAAUUUUUUUGGUGUUUAUUAAAAAUGGGCCGGGUUGGGCUAGGCCUGGGCUUAGGAAUUUUUCCCCGGGCUGGGCGUGGAUAAAAUUUCAGGCCCAUAUUUCGGGUCGGGCCCAUCCUAGAACACGGGCCAAAAUUUUUUAUGGGCCCAUCCCGAACCUGGCCCGGCCCAGCCUGGCCCAUGAGCACAUCUAAACGACAGGGUCCUUGAGAACAUGGUUAAUGAGCACAAAAAGAAGAAAGAUAAAGAUGAAGGAUGCUACUGGCAACGAUAAAUAAGAUUUGAUUGAUAUUUCACUUAAGAUUUAGUAAUAACGAGAUAUUGAGUUUUCAAUAGAGAAUGAUAACAUAAAAGCAAUCAUUCGUGUUAAUCAAAUUUAUUUUUGAUAUAUUGACCACGAACAAUUUUAUAUACGAUUAAUAAAUUAAAUGAUGACACAUCAUUUGAAAUGAAAAAAAAUAGAUUUAAUUUUACUAAUUUUAAAUGAUGAAUUUUCAUUUGAUAUAUUGACAGUAUAAUUAACAAUGAAUUUAAACUUCCAUUUCCAAUUCAUUAUAAUUUUAUUAUUAUAGGUCAAAUUUAAUUUUGAUGUUUGGAAAUUUUAAAUUUAUUUUUUACAUAAUUUAAUAAUCAUCCUAUUUUGUAAUAUUAUUAACUAGAAUUAUUUCUAUCUAUAGUAAUUGGUACUAUUUACCGUAUAAAAAAUGUCUUGAAAAUUAUUUUUUUAAUUAUAGUUAAAUUCCAAACAAAAGAUUUCAUUUAUAGAACAAUAAAAAAUUUAAAAAUAUUAAUUCUGUUAAAUAGUAAAUGUUAACUUAUUCCAAUUUAGUCUUAUUUAAUUAUUUUAAUAAUACAUGGACUAAAUUAAUUCAUUUCAUAAUAGAAGGUCGAAUUUUAUUAAAUUCUUAUAAUAGAGGGACCAUUCAAGUACAUUCACAUUUUUUUUCCCUCUAUUCGAGCCCUGUUAAAAUAAAUGAAACUUCAAUCAAAUUAAAGUUUUUAUACGAUAAUCAGAUGCUUAAGGAUAUAUUUUUUAAAAUAAUUGCCUCGACAUUUUAAUAAAAUAGUUAAUAAUAUUAUGUGUUUAAACUAAUUAGUAACAUUAUAAAAUAUUAUGAAAUUAAAAUCAAAUCCGGAAUUAAUCACAACCUUGACCUAUUAUUAUAUGAUUAAUUGAUCUCCAAACUUGAAGUUUAAUGACAUUUUUGGAAUAGGGGUGAAUAAAAUUCGAAAAAAAAAAAUUGAAUCUCAAGUUAAUCGAAUCGAGUUAUUCGAAUUAUUUGAGUUUCGAGAUCAAAUCGAAUUAAAUUUUACAAUUUGAAUUACAUGAAUAAUUCGAAUAAUAGAUUGGUAUAAAUACUUUUUGGUCCCUGUCAAGCUUGAAAAUGAGCAAAUCGAUCUCUCUCAACAAAAAUUACAAAAAAAAAUCAAAAUAAUUUUCAAAAUUUUUAAAUAUUUUUAAAUAUUUUUAAAAUUUUCAAAAAAAAUAUAUAUGUAAAAAAUAUAUAAAGAAAUUUAAAAAUUAAAAAUUUUCUAGAAUAAUAAUUUUUGGAUCUAAAUAAGUUAAUUAAUUAUUCAAAUUUAUCAUACUAAAGUAUUUUAUUAUUAUUUUGCUUCGAAUUUUUUUUCAAAUAUUUAUUGUUUCAAAUUUAUGUGCUCUAACAUGGAAUUAGUUAUAUCGUAAUAAGAUUUUAAUUUGACAUGUUUAAUUUUUUUAAUUUAAUUUGAAUAAUUUCACUCGAUUUGACUCGACUCGAUUCGAAAAAAUUUCAAAUUGAGUUAGGAUUUUAAAAUAGAACUCGUCAACUCAAUUAAUUUAAAAAAAUUACACUCAAUUCAAUUGAAUGCUGACCCUUACUUUGAAACAGAAAGUGAGACAUGAUGCAGCAACAUUACACUGGGCCAUGUCUGAAAUAGUGAAAAACUCUCAUGUAAUGAAAAUGGCCAAGUAACUAAAGCAAGGAUCCAUGAGCUGAAAUUCUGGAGAUCAAUAGUGAAAGAAACCUUAAGGCUACACCCACCUGUUCCUUUGAACAUCAGACAAAACAUUGAGAACUGUGCGUAGGAGUGAGUAAAAUUCGAUUCGAUUCGAAAAACUUAAUGAAAAAUUUAAAUUUUGAAUUAAAUAGUUCGAGUUAUUUGAGUUAAUCAAGUUAUUCGGAUUAACUCGAAUAAAAAUUAAGUUUUUUGGUUUAACUCGAAUAUGAAUUACACAAUUCGAGUUAUCCGAAAAUCCGAAUAAGAAAAGACAAAACUACGUUGUUUUGAUAAAUGUUUAUUUUUUAAAAGUUAAAAUUCAAAAUAAUUAAGUUAAAAGGCAAAGCUACAUUGUUUUGAUAAAUGUUUACCCAUUAAGUUAAAAGGUAAAAUCAUUAUAUUGUUCAUGUAGUUAAAUAAUCUUGUAAAUUUAUCUACUAGUUAAAUAGCCGGUCCAUCUAAACGUAACAUUAAGUAUAAAUAAUAGGAUUCGUUAACUCGACCCGAUUUGACUCGAUUCGAUUCGAUUCGAUUCGAAAAAAUUUUAAAUUGAGUUCGGUUGCUAAAAUAGAAUUUAUCAACUCGACUAAUUCAAAAAAUUUGUACUCGAUUUGACUCGACUUGAUCGAAUACUCACCCUUAACUGUGUAAUCAAUGUCUAUGCCAUCCCUUCAAAGUCCAAUGUUCUCAUUUAAUGCAUGGGCCGUAUAAAGGAUCCUUGUUGUUGGGGAAAAGGUGAAGUGUUUUGGGUGAGAGCAGCUCUAUUGGUGGUUUUAAUGGAGGAAAGCUUGAGUACAUGUAUAUGUAUAUGCCAUUUGGUGGUGGGGAAGCCAAAAAAAUUUGUUUGAAUGAGUAAAAAAUUUGUUAGAAGGAAGAAUGAUUUGGUCGUAUUCUCGUACCUUAUUCUUUUUCAUCCAACUAAUAGGGUUCUCUAGAGGUUUUUGUAUUAGCAUGGAAUGCAUUUUUAGUUUCUACAAGUAAAAUAUUCUCUUACGCUAGAAAUACAUGCAAAAUGAUCAUUUAUAUAACAAUUGAAGGGAAAAAAGCAGUUAGUUUUAUGAGGUGGAAUUAAUUAAAUGAUGUGGUAUUAAUUUAAGUUAUGACGUGAGUUGUUCACUUUUAUCUUUUGUACCUUAAUUCAUUUUGAAUGUAACAAACUCAAAGUGCUUACUUCAAACUAUUAAAAGUAAAAGAAGCCAUUUGCUUUAUCUAAACUUAAGUAUUGUAAAAUCUCCUUAGGAAUCUCCUAAAAAAAUUGGACACCUUCCUUAUUACCAGAAAUCAAUUUGGCGAUCCCAUCGGCAACUUGAUUAUUCUUCCCGGGAACAUACCUAAAAAACCACAAUCUUCCAUUUUUCAAUAUAUGUUUGGUUCUUCUAACCAAGACUGAAUUUGCAUCCGUUGAUUGCCUAUAUUCAAUGACUUUAAUCAUUUUCAUGCUAUCCGUAUGAAUCAACACUCUCUCAAAUCUUCAUUUGUUUAAAAUAGUUAACCAAUCCAGAAUACACAUCCCUUAAGUAAUGGUUAUAACCAAGAAUCUAAUCCCCAACCUAAUUUCACAACACUCUCCCGACCAAUUCAUAUUCCCCAAUUUCAUAUCUUAUUCAUCGAUUAAAUACAUCCAGCUACAAUUGAGUAAAUGAAUAUGCCACCUCAUAUAUUAAAUUUAUGUUGUAUCAUUUAAUUGAGUUAAUCUCAUAAAAUUAACAACUUUUUUUCAACUAUUACCAAAAAUAUGAUCUUGUUAAUUUAUCUACCUACAAGGAUCUUUAUGUUUAUUUUUAAAAGUAUAAAAACUAAAUGCAUUCUUCAUUAUGGUACAGGGACCGAUAUAGUAUUUUUACCAAUAAUUCCCUAAUGGAAAAUUGGAAAUUUGCUUGGUUGUAUAUUAAUUAAUAAAAUCAAAAAAAAAAAAAGAAGUCAUUUGUGAAUCCAAGGCUUGGUUCAGAAUCGAAUCUCAACAUUGUAUCUCCAUAUUUUUAUUUUUAUUUCUUUGUCCCCCGAUUUAUUUGCAUUUCAGCAUUUGCAGGGACUUCCAUUUCUAAAUAAUUGUUGUUGGAAACUGAAAAUUGGAUCAAUUAAACUACUAAUAUAUCCUUCUUUCGUUGAUCCCAAAGCAAAGAUGCUUUUCAACCAAGGUUGACUGCGCUAAAUGUUUUUAAGUUUUAAAAUAUUAUAGUUGAGUCCUUAAAAUAUUAGUAUUACAUCAAUUACGUCCUUAUGCCAAUUUAGCUUAUCAGCAUGGGUUGCAAGGGCAACAUUAGAGGAGGACAAGCAGGGCCUUGGUCCCUCCAAAGUGAAAAAUUGCUCUUUUAUUUCCUUUAAAAACAAUAAAAUUUUAAAUUAAUUUAAUUGUAAAAUUUCAUGACCCUUCUAAAAUUUAAAAUUGAAUUGUUUAUAGUUUAAUUUCUCAAGAUAUUGUAAAAUUUUAUGUUUAUAUAGUGAUAAAUUUACAUUUUAGCUCUCUCAACAAUUUAUAAUCCAAAUUCAGCCCUCCCCCAGGAAAUUAUUUCUAGCUUCGUCAUUGCUUGGUCAAAUUAUAAACAUAUGUUUAACAUCAUCUUUGGUAUGACGUGUAACAAAAAAAAAAGCCCUCUUAAAUUUUAAUGUUAUUUUUUAAAAUACGUCAAAUAUGAACCGAUAUUGAUGGUUAAACCGGCGAAAAGACCUAAUUAAUAUAAUACUAGCAUUUUGAAGAUUAGGUUAAAACAUUUUGAAAUGUAGGACCAAUUUAAAAUCUCAAGAUAAAUUGGGGGAUAGUUUAGUGAAUUGAACAAUUUCAACUAUUCCAAGCUUGCUUUGGUGGUUGGAGCAGGCAGUCCGCAGUAGCAUCUUUGGUUUCAUCAACUGCAAAAUUUGUUGACUAUUUAAUUUGUUUGGAAAAUUAAACGCCCACUUUUUACAAGGAGAUUUAUUUAACAGCUAGUCAUAGUUUUGCUUGGUAGCGUAGAAAAUAGGAAACUACAACUUCAUUUUUAUUUUUCAAUUUUAUUCUAAAAUUAUUGACACGUUUGGUUAACUGUAAUAGAAUAGGACUGUAAUCGGUAAUUCAAUUAUUUGGUUGAAUGAAAUGGAAUAAUAUUCUUGCGUUAGGUUAAUUGGAAUGGAAUAGUAUUCUUGUGUUUGGUUGAAUAGAAUAAAUAUUGUAAUAGCAUAAGAAAAAAUACUGAAAUAAUCAGAGUACCCUUAGCAGAAUUUUUGUAAGGUAGAUAAUUAUGGUUUUUGUUAUUAAAUUUUAAUAGCAUUAUUAUUAAAUAUAAUUUAAUAAUCUUCUUAAUAUGAUUGUUUUUAUAUUAAAUUAUUUCAAAUAUUUUAUUUUUAUAUUUUUUGAGUCCAAGUUUUAAUUAUUAACGUUUAUAUUUUUUUUGUUAAUAUAACUUUUUUUAAUUAAAUUUAGCUCUUAAGUUAAAUUUAAUUAUUAAUCUUUUGAAAAAGAGUUAAAUUAAUUUUUUAAUAAAAAUUUUAAUUAAAAAUUUUAAAUUUUAAAUACGGCAACUUUCGUAGUAGUCAAAGAGCAUUUCAUGCUUCUUCUUUUUAAUUUUUAUGAAAGUUUUAUAAUAUUUUUGAGUUGAGUUUUUUUUUUUGAAUUUUUAUAAUUUUAAAUUAUUUAUUGGCGUGGUAUAUAAGAUAAUUAUUAUCAUGUCAGAUUGUUCACGUGGAUUGACACGCGGAUUGUCGUGUCAAUUUCAUUAAAAAGUUAAUGUUUUAGUCAACGUAAUUUUAAAGAAAAGUAAUUUAACUCUUGUUAAAGGUUUAAUGCUCAAAUUUAGUUAAAAAAAAGUAAGAGUUGAAUUGACAAAAAAUACAAACAUUGAGGACUAAAUUCGUUAUUAUGCUUUUUUAACCAAAGAAUCCUUAUUCAGGGUCAAUAGAAAUGAGAGUUUAGAACUAUUAAUGGGUUGGCAAAUUUAUAAAAUAUUUUAUAUUUAUAUUUAUAUAUUUUUAUAAUAAAUUAAAUUUUAAAAAUAUUUUUUAUUUAAAUUAAAUUUGGGUUAAAUCAAGUUGGCUUGAAAAAUAAAAAUCUACGUUUAAGUCCGAAUCUAGUCAUGUCAGGCCUAUCGGAUCGGGUGAGCUUCCUGACCCAUAAAUAGGUCUAAUGAGAGUUAAUUGAGCUUCGUUCUCUCCAAAUUUUUGAAAAAGAUUAUUAAAACUUAAUAUUUAAUUAAAUUUGCAUGUUGGUUUUAAGGUUUAUACCUUCAUAUAUAUAUAUAUUCAUGAUAAAAUGCCAUGAAAGGCAAGUAAUCUUUUAAGAUUAUUACAUAAAUCCCAUACGUUAAAAGUAAUAAAUUAUGUCAUUAAUUAUAUAUUAUCCAUAUAAAAAGAAAGGUCCUUUGGAUUUUCCUUGGUUCACACGUGAAUUGACUUCCUCUUUUGUUUCUUCUUUUUCUUUUUUGCAGUAUGUAGUAAAAUAGUCAAUUUUAAUAGAAGAUUUUAAUCACCUUAAUAAUUAGAUUUGAAAUUUUAAAAUUUAAAAAUAAAGUGAUUAAAUUUCUAAAAAUAAAAAUAUAAAGAUUAAAUUACAAAUAUACAAAUAGUACAAUAACUUAACUAUAUUUUUAAUAUUUACUUUAUAAUUUAAUUGAAAAUACUUAAUAGUUAACCGAACAUGAAGCACGAUAAAAUAUGUAUUAGUUAGUAUUAAGGGUUUUUACUUAGACAAUAUAAAAAAAAUACGAAAAUGUGAUAUGUUGUAAAUGACAUAUUUUCUACCAUAAAAUUAGGUGUUUGUCAGGCACACCACCUAUAAAAUAUAAUAUUUUAAUAAAAUAGAUAAAGUAAUAAAUUAAAAACAAUACUUUAAUCUAAAAAAGGGUGACGCCAAAAGUCAUGCGAUACCCAUUUUUCUUAUUGACUUUUUACCCUUCUUUUUUAAUUUGGGUUGGUUGUGGUAUGAUUUUGAAUUUCAUACCUCUAUUUUAUGGAAAUUAGAAAUAAGUCCAUUUAUUUUAAUUUAUUAUAAUUUAAUCUUUGUAGGUUUUCGAAUUUGACUAACUUUUUUAAUUCGAAAACUUACAAAGACUAAAUUCUGAUAAAUUCAAAUAAUAGUUAAAAUCGAAAAUUUAGAUUAAAUUAUGAUAAAUUAAAAGAAACAGACAAACUUCUAAUUUUCAUAAAAUAAAAGAUAUAAAAUUUAAAAAUAUGCCACAAUCACCCUAAAUUAAAAAAAUGAAAAAAAUAGGAAAAGGAGUGCGGCCGGAUAUUUUGGGUCACCCCUUUUUUUAGAUUAAUUUUUAAAUUUAUUUUUAUUGAAAUAUUAUUUUUUAUAAGUAAUAAGAUAUUAUUCUCCUAGGUAAUUUACAUAUUUUCGUAAUUAAUUAAGUUUUAUUAAAGACACUUUUCCAGUGUAAGCCCAUUUCUUUAUUCAUGUGUUUACUCCUUGGAAGACAAGUUUCUGACUACAGAAUCCCCAAGUUGCUGACGACCAUGUUUUUGGUCUUUCUCUCCACCAAACGGCAUAUAAUGUGAUUGUGAGUCAGCAGCAUAAACCAUCGUUGAAAAAUGUUCAAUUCAGUUCUCAAACUAUGACAUGCAUUUCAAAUUCAUCUCCAAAGUCCAAAUUAUAAACACUUGAAUCUACGUAUUAGAAAAAGUAAUUCUCUUAAAAUUUAUUGAUUUUCUUUUUAGAAACACAUUAAAUGUAAGCUAUUCAAUCUAUAGUUACAUAGGUUUUUACAAUUUGAUAAAAAUAUUUUAAAUAUAUUUUAUGUCAUGAAUAAAUAUUUAUUAUUUAAAGUGACAACUACACAGGCAAAAGAAUCUUAUUGUGAUAAUCUGAGAACCCAGUAACUAUUUGAGGUAUGUGGAUCAAUUUGAAAUUUUAGCACUAAUUUAGGAAUAUUAGUUGAAAUUAAGUCCUUCGAUCUGUCCCCAGUUCCUGCUGAUUAGUAUUUUGUUAUUUGUGGAAAACUGACAAUAAAGUAAAAAACAGACUUUGGUAAUUGAUGCUAUAGUUUAUAUUUUCAGAGUCAAAAAUCACGUCUUUUCCCGAAGGCCACUCCAGUCUCCAACUUCCUUCUUUACAUCCUUUUCUGAGGUUCAGUGCCUUUCCCUUCUGCUCUCUCCGCUUCCAAUCUUGCUCUCCACGCAUUUCUCUUCUCCAAGUAUUUUUCUUGGUCUUUCUUUUUUAGUCUUAUUUAUAUAUAAACACAAAGCCUGAAGCCUUCAAACACUUGAAACCAAUCAAAACUUGUAUCCAAACACACAAAACCCAAGUUUUUUCUUCAGCCAAAGCUCCAAAAAAGAUGGAACUUUUUGCUUCACAAUCAUCUUUACUACUGAGUUCAGCUACUAGUUUUGAUUUUCUACUAAAACCCAUUUUUCUUCAUGGGUUUUCUGCUUCAUUACACUUAGUGUUGUUGCUUUUAUUGUUAAUCUUAUGGAUGGUGAGCAGGAUUAAAAAAGUUAGUAGGGAAGGUUCAAAGGAACGACAGAUUUUAUGGUAUAAGCAAACAUUAGCUUGUUGUUUUGUUGUUUCAGUUUCCAAUGUUGUCUUGUGUUUGUUAAGUUAUUUUUAUUGGUAUACAAAUGGUUGGUCUGAGGAUAAGUUGGUGAGUCUUAUUGAUUAUGCAUUGAAAGUACUUGCUUGGGCUGCAACAUGUGUUUGCUUGCAAUGUCAAUUCUCCAAUCCUGGUGAACAAAAGAGGUUCCCUGUUGUGUUGAGAAUUUGGUGGGGUUUUUACUUUUCAAUUUCAUGUUAUUGUCUUGUUAUAGACAUUGUUCUCUUCAAAAAACAUGUUUCCUUCCCAACCCAGUAUUUAGUAUCUGAUGUCUUGUCUGUUGUUACUGGUUUGUUUCUAUGCAUUGUUGGGUUCUUUGUAAGAAAUGAGGGUGAAGAUAUCCUCCUUGAGGAACCCCUUUUAAGCGGAGAUUCUAGUGUUAGUAAUGGUGUAGAGCUGAGUAAGGAAAAAGGGGGUGAUACUGUAACCCCAUACUCAAAUGCUAGCAUUUUCAGCGUUCUUACAUUUUCUUGGAUGGGGCCUCUCAUUGCUGCUGGCAAUAAGAAACCAUUAGACCUUGAGCAUGUUCCUCAGCUAGAUAGCCAUGAUAGUGUUAUUGGCGCUUUUCCAAAAUUUAAAAACAGGCUUGAAUCAGCUGAUAGUGAGGGGAAUGGUGUUACCUCACUUAAGCUGGUGAAGGCACUGUUCUUUUCAGCAUGGAAAGAUAUUCUUUGGACAGCUUUGUUUGCAUUUACUUACACGGUGGCUUCAUAUGUUGGCCCAUACCUCAUCGACACUUUCGUUCAGUAUCUGAAUGGGCAAAGGGAAUUUAAGGCUGAGGGGUAUCUUCUAGUUGCUGCUUUCUUUGUUGCCAAGCUAGUGGAGUGCUUGUCUCAGAGGCGCUGGUUCUUUAAGUUGCAACAAGUUGGACUUAGGCAGAGGGCUGUAUUGGUAGCAAUGAUAUAUAACAAGGGGUUAACCCUUUCAUGCCAGUCGAAGCAGAGCCAUACCAGUGGGGAGAUCAUCAAUUUCAUGACUGUUGAUGCAGAAAGGGUGGGUGACUUUAGUUGGUACAUGCAUGAUCCAUGGAAGGUAGUUUUGCAAGUUGCUUUGGCCUUGUUGAUCUUGUAUAAGACCCUGGGGAUUGCAUCCAUUGCCGCUUUUGUUGCUACUGUACUUGUUAUGUUGGCGAAUAUUCCUUUGGGGAAAAUGCUGGAGAAGUUUCAGGAUAAGUUAAUGGAAUCAAAAGAUACAAGGAUGAAGGCAACAUCUGAAAUUUUGAGGAAUAUGAGGAUUCUUAAACUGCAGGGGUGGGAAAUGAAGUUCCUCUCCAGGAUUGUCGGGCUCAGAAGCGUCGAGGAAGGAUGGUUAAAACGAUUUGUUUAUACAAAUGCCAUGACUGCUUUCGUUUUCUGGGUUGCACCAUCGUUUGUGUCUGUAGCCACUUUUGGUGCUUGUAUGUUCUUAGGAGUCCCACUUGAGUCGGGGAAGAUCCUAUCUGCACUCGCAACAUUCAGGAUUCUUCAGGUGCCAAUCUACAACCUUCCUGACACAAUCUCAAUGAUAGUUCAAACAAAGGUGUCACUUGAUCGAAUUGCUGCCUUCCUCCGGCUCGAUGACUUGCAGCCUGAUGCUAUAGAGAAGCUACCCAGUGGUAGUUCCAAUACAGCGAUCGAGAUUGCUGAUGGGAACUUCUCUUGGGAUACGUCAUCCCCUACUGCAACACUAAAAGAUAUAAACUUGAAAGUUUCCCAUGGCAUGAGUGUUGCUGUUUGUGGUACGGUCGGCUCUGGCAAAUCAAGUUUACUUUCCUGUCUUUUGGGAGAGUUACCAAAGAUAUCAGGAACGCUUAAGUUGUGUGGUACAACAGCCUAUGUUGCCCAGUCACCUUGGAUACAAAGUGGCAAGAUUGUAGACAACAUAUUGUUUGGUAAGGAAAUGGACAGAGACAAGUAUGACAAAGUGCUUGAAGCUUGUACCCUCAAGAAGGAUCUUGAAAUUCUCUCUUUCGGUGAUCAGACGGUUAUAGGCGAGAGGGGAAUCAAUCUGAGUGGUGGACAAAAGCAAAGAAUACAGAUUGCUCGUGCUCUAUACCAAGAUGCCGAUAUCUAUCUGUUUGAUGAUCCUUUCAGCGCAGUGGAUGCUCAUACCGGAUCUCAUUUAUUUAAGGUAAUGUCUUCUUAAUGAUCAUAUGGCAUGCAUUUUAAGAGUUGCUAUAGUUAAUUUAGUUGAAAUAGUUAUGUAUGAGCUCUGAGUAUCUUGUUUACUCUUUUGAUUGGCAGGAGGUUUUACUAAAGAAUUUGAGAUCAAAAACANNNNNNNNNNNNNNNNNNNNNNNNNNNNNNNNNNNNNNNNNNNNNNNNNNNNNNNNNNNNNNNNNNNNNNNNNNNNNNNNNNNNNNNNNNNNNNNNNNNNNNNNNNNNNNNNNNNNNNNNCUAACUGGAUGCAACUUGUAUUUACAUAUUUGUUAGGUGAUGAAAGAUGGGAGGAUUGUUCAAGCUGGAAAUUAUAAUGAUAUUCUCAAUUCAGGUACUGAUUUUAUGGAACUUGUGGGUGCACAUAAGAAAGCUUUGUCGGCCCUUGAUACUGUUGAAGCAAGUUCGGUUUCUGAACAAACUACCAGCGAAGGAGAAUGUGAUAUAGUUAGUACUAAUGGGAAAGUGCAGAAACAAGAAAACCAAGAUAACCAGAGUUUUAAAGUAGAUGAUGUCAGACCAAAAGGACAGCUUGUUCAAGAAGAAGAACGAGAGAAAGGACAAGUCGGGUUUUCGGUCUACUGGAAGUACAUCACAACAGCAUAUGGAGGAGCUCUUGUGCCUUUAAUACUGCUUGCUCAGAUUCUCUUUCAGAUUUUUCAAAUAGGCAGCAACUAUUGGAUGGCUUGGGGAUCACCGGUGUCGGCAGACAUAAAGCCUCCUGUUGGGAGCUUUACACUAAUCAUGGUCUAUUUGGCUUUGGCCAUUGCAAGUGCCAUUUGUGUCUUUGCCAGAUCCAUACUUCUUCGUAUAGCUGGAUAUAAAACAGCCACUCUUCUCUUUAAAAAGAUGCAUCUUCGCAUUUUCCGCGCUCCUAUGUCUUUCUUCGAUUCUACACCGAGUGGAAGAAUCCUCAACAGAGUAAGCAUCUAAUGUUUUUCCUGUAUGGAUACGAAAGAUUCAAUUUAUCUUCAUGUUUGUUGGCAUUUUUCCCCUUGUUUUUGAGGUAUUGUAAACUUUUUUACUGCCUCUUAUAGGCUUCUACAGAUCAAAGUGCAGUAGAUAUGAACAUCCCGUAUCAAGUNNNNNNNNNNNNNNNNNNNNNNNNNNNNNNNNNNNNNNNNNNNNNNNNNNNNNNNNNNNNNNNNNNNNNNNNNNNNNNNNNNNNNNNNNNNNNNNNNNNNNNNNNNNNNNNNNNNNNNNNNNNNNNNNNNNNNNNNNNNNNNNNNNNNNNNNNNNNNNNNNNNNNNNNNNNNNNNNNNNNNNNNNNNNNNNNNNNNNNNNNNNNNNNNNNNNNNNNNNNNNNNNNNNNNNNNNNNNNNNNNNNNNNNNNNNNNNNNNNNNNNNNNNNNNNNNNNNNNNNNNNNNNNNNNNNNNNNNNNNNNNNNNNNNNNNNNNNNNNNNNNNNNNNNNNNNNNNNNNNNNNNNNNNNNNNNNNNNNNNNNNNNNNNNNNNNNNNNNNNNNNNNNNNNNNNNNNNNNNNNNNNNNNNNNNNNNNNNNNNNNNNNNNNNNNNNNNNNNNNNNNNNNNNNNNNNNNNNNNNNNNNNNNNNNNNNNNNNNNNNNNNNNNNNNNNNNNNNNNNNNNNNNNNNNNNNNNNNNNNNNNNNNNNNNNNNNNNNNNNNNNNNNNNNNNNNNNNNNNNNNNNNNNNNNNNNNNNNNNNNNNNNNNNNNNNNNNNNNNNNNNNNNNNNNNNNNNNNNNNNNNNNNNNNNNNNNNNNNNNNNNNNNNNNNNNNNNNNNNNNNNNNNNNNNNNNNNNNNNNNNNNNNNNNNNNNNNNNNNNNNNNNNNNNNNNNNNNNNNNNNNNNNNNNNNNNNNNNNNNNNNNNNNNNNNNNNNNNNNNNNNNNNNNNNNNNNNNNNNNNNNNNNNNNNNNNNNNNNNNNNNNNNNNNNNNNNNNNNNNNNNNNNNNNNNNNNNNNNNNNNNNNNNNNNNNNNNNNNNNNNNNNNNNNNNNNNNNNNNNNNNNNNNNNNNNNNNNNNNNNNNNNNNNNNNNNNNNNNNNNNNNNNNNNNNNNNNNNNNNNNNNNNNNNNNNNNNNNNNNNNNNNNNNNNNNNNNNNNNNNNNNNNNNNNNNNNNNNNNNNNNNNNNNNNNNNNNNNNNNNNNNNNNNNNNNNNNNNNNNNNNNNNNNNNNNNNNNNNNNNNNNNNNNNNNNNNNNNNNNNNCCCGUGUGAGCGAAACGUAAUCUUCUUUGACUCUCCCCCCGAUCCUUCAUAUCCUAUUCACGUCUUAGAUGCAAUAGUUCCAAGUUUUUUAAACUAUAAUAGAUUGAGUGAAAGUGCCGUGUUAUGUUUUAAACUAAUACCUCAUAUAUUGAAAGGAAGUUAAAUCCUUUCCGAGAAGUUUUCUAAGUGUCAUUCAUUCCGACCCCUCAAUAGGUCUUAAUUAUCCUUAAAUCUAGUUAGGGUUUUGUCUCUAGACUCUAUAAAGAGCUCAAGUUGAAGAUAAGGUUCAUUGAACAAGAGCACCUUGUUGGAUCAUGUAGUUGAUCAAGUAGUAGCAUAUGUGUCCUUAAAUGUCAUAUAAGGGGUAAGGACUUUCGUAGGUAAUCCAAUCCGACGAAGCACAUCUACUCUAAAAAUCCCACCUUCAACUCAUACUUUAUUUAGAGUUAAGAGACAAAAUUUUAACUCGACAACCAAAAUACAAUGUAGAUUCUUUUUUUAAGCUGUCUAAUAUAAUUUUACUCGAUUUUUGUAAAUUCUAUUAUAUUAUAUUUCACUACCAAAGAAAAAAAAUUGAAGGUUGGUUGAAAGUACCAUCAAAUGUCGAAAUGAAGAGUAAAGAGCAUGCAAAUGUAAUCCGUGGAAAGUGGUGGAAAAAACCCCCUAUAAUUACGAUUGUUCGUUUUCAAAGUUACGCUAUUUUCAAAUUAUUUAAUAUCUGUUUUGGCCCCUGUACUAUAGUAAAAUUAUCAUUUUGACUCUUUUACUAUUUUUUGGUCACUUUAGCCCCUUGAUCAUUUCUAUUUAAAAAAAAUUCUGCGUGACCAUUUAAGCUAUUUAAAAAAAAUUCUGCGUGACCAUUUAAGCUAAUCAAAUGUGAACAUGUAGAUAGCCAAAAUGAGGAGAUAGGAGAUGCAAUAGAUAGCUUACAUCACUGUGAAGGCCCAUGAAACAUUUUACCAGAAGACCCCCCAUAGAAUGACUUAUGAUAUUUAUCUUUUUCCCCCUGAUGCUUUAUACACUGACUCUAGUUUUGCUGCCAGGCGAUCCAAUGUGUCUUGCAACCUAAAAGAAAGCUAGAAUCAACCAUUAGAAAAAAAUCUAUAAAUUGCAAGGAACGACAGGCCACAACCCUUAAUUAGAAGGAAAAUAAUUAAAAAAGAUCAAUAAUAUGAUUAUACCCGUUAUCAUUUCAACAAUCAUAUCAUGGAAAUAGUAGGAAAAGACUUUGUGUUUUGUAAAGCAGAAACAAGGUAGUAGAAAGAUAAAAUGGGUUAAAAAGAGUAUGACAAGUUCAUAAUUGGCGUCGAUUGUCCUGCUUAACCACCUCUAUCCAGUUCAUCAGAUCUAAUACAAGUGAGGAAUUCAAUGUCACAUUUGUCAAGGGUUAUUUGAGCUAGAGAAAAACAAUUCUAAAAUAAAUAACAGAGAAGUUCCUCCUUAAAAUGCAAAGAUUAAAUAGUCACUUGUAUCCAAUUUAUAAAACAUUAUGACAUAGCAGAGGUAAAUAGCAACCUGAAACCAAGAAAAUAAAUUCCAUUUCCUCUUUGGUCUAUAGAGAACUGACAAUCGAAGAACCAAAAGUAAUAGACAUAAUAUAAAUUAUUAACCUGAGAACAGCUGAUCUUUUCUAUUCCAGCAACCUGCACAACUCGACCUUUAACCCUACAACCUGAAUGCGAAUGUUUAUAAUAAAUUAAAGAGUGAAACAUCACAAAAGAGGCCAACAAAAAAGAUAAAAAAGAGUUAGGGAUUUACCGAAUGUAGCUUGAGAAUUGAUGCUGAUUUCAUGAUAGAUUGACCUGUAUUUGACUCUGACUCUAAUUGUCGGCGUAGGAUAAGGGGACGACCGGUAUUAUAGGAGAAAAUUCCUACACCUACGCGUAUUUACACAACAAAAAAAGUAGAAGAAGAAAAAAGAUUUCUUUUAAGCAAAGACAGAAAAAGAAACUGAAACAAAGAUUCUUCACCUUCUUCAACCUUUUUUUUAUCUCUUUAUUUCAGCGAACAGCCAAUGGCAUCUUAGUAAGGCAAUGUAAAAGAAAGGGGGGGGAAACAAAGCGCAAAAACCCCCUUACUCCCCUCUUCGUUUUCUUUAUCUUUCAACUCCUCUUCCUCCGAUUUCUUCUCAUCUAGGAUUUCUUCUCAUCUAGCGUUUCAGUGCAGUGAAAUGAAAAGGAAAAAGGUAUUGUUGGAAAUGGGAAAUUUGGGGGAUUUCAACUAAACAAAAACAAACUAUAUUUGGUGAUCUAGGGCGCACGACUAGGGGUGUGCAUAAGUCGGGUAAAUCCGAUAAAUUCGGUUAACCGACGGAAUUCGCUUAAUCGCGCGAAUUAACCGAAUUUUUUCGGUCGGGGGUCGGUUAAAUUUUUUAUGAUUUUUCGGUUAACGGUUAAUUCGGUUCGAAACCAGUCGGUUAACCGAAUUUUCGGUUAACUGAAAAAAUUAAUAAAUAAAAUUAUCCAACCCAACCCAAACUCAAUUACCCAACCCAAUAAAACUAAAACUAAAGUUUACCCAAUUACCCAAUCUAAUAAAACUAAAAUUAAAAGACAACCCAAUUUACUAAAGUCUAAAACCCAAUUUACUUUAAUAAUUUAUAAAUUUUUUAAAUUUUAAAAAUAAAAAAUAAAAAAAAUUCGGGUAAUUCGGGUAUUUUUCGGUAAUUCGGUUAAUUCGGUUAAUUCGGGUAAUUCGGUUAAUUCGGGUAAUUCGGGUAAUUCGGGUAAUUUUUAACCAAAAAUAAAAAAUACAUAAUUUUCGGUUAAUUCGGUUAACCGACCUUAUUAACAUAAAAAAUUUCGGUUCGGUUAAAUUUUUUUUAAAAAAAAUCGGUUCGGUUAACGGUUAAAAUUUUUGGAAGGUCGGUUAAUUUGGUUAUAGUAAUUUCGGGUCGGUUAACCGAACGAACACCCCUACGCACGACAGAGAUGAGAAGAAGAGGGGGUAAUGAGCGGGCAACAAAAAAUUAUUUUUUGGGUGAGUGGGAUUUCUAUUGCUUAUCUUUUGCGGCGUUUUUUAUAAAAAUGUCACAAAAAUAUCUCAUUUUAAACAAAACGACUCUGUUUUACUUUGUUAAAAAUAUUUUAUUUUGUCUACUAAAAAUUUUUAGUUAAGUGAUUUUAUAAAACAUUUAUUAUUACUAUUUUUUAUAAAUUGGAUUUUUAUAAAAAAAAUCAAGUACUCUCAAAAUAAAUAUCAUAUAUUUUAAUAAGAAAAUAAAUGAUUAAAUGGCUGCAAUUAAUUAUUAAGUUAGAAUUAUCCAAUGUUAAUUACGAUUUCUAUUAAAGAUUGAAAUGUUAAUCACGAUUUUAUAUUAUUAUUUUCCGAUUUAAUCUCCAUUUUAUUAGAGAUAUUUUUUCUUAACUAAAAUAUAAUUAUUAUACUAGAUGUUCGAUGUGGAAUGAUUUUAGUUUUUGUAUUUCAUUUUUAUUUGUUAUAAUUUGGUCUAAUCCAAAAUAGAUAGUUACCUAUUCAUAUCAAUCUGUUACUUUUUUUUAUUUAUUUAUCAAUUUUUUUGUUAAAUCUAAUAUUUAAAUAUAUCAAAUGGUUUAGAUUAAAUAUUUUUAAAUAUAAAAGCAUUAAUUGAUUGUAUACUUUUUUAUCAUUUAACAAAUCUCAAGUAAAUCUUAAAUCCUAAACCAGUUAAUAUAUAUAAAAUUUAUCUAUUAAGUUCUUAAAUAAUUUAAACUAUAAUCAUAAUUUUAAUAUAUUAAAAUUAAUAUUAUCUCUUUUACAACUAUAUAAGAAAUUAUUUAAUAUAUAAAUUAAAAAAACUAACUAAUGUAAACCAUAAACCCCUAACCCCUAUCCCCUAAAUCGUAAAACAUAAACCGUAAACCCCUAACCCUUAAACCCCAACCCUUAUAACUGUCCUCCAUAAGUUUUGUGACCGCAUUUAGUAUAGUUAUUUAAUCUUAAAGAUAUUUCAAAAGAUUCAAACUCCUAAUUGUAACAGUACUCCUAGUUUCUUCAACUCCAAAAGAUUCAAACUCCUCAUCCACAUCAACAGAUGCCGCAAUGCAGGUGAUUUUUUCUUUUGGAACCUUCAAUCCAUCAUCAACUUUAGGAUUUCCUCGCUUCUCCCUAGCACCAAUGUCCAAACCUAAUAACUUAAAAAAAUUCAAUCAACAAACAGAAGGCGAAUUGGAGGCAGAAAUACCUAAAAGAAACAUUCAACUGCAAGCUGUAAUGGUAUCCAUAGGAAGAAGAAAAUAGUAAGGUGUUACAGAUAAUUUAAAAUGUAAAAGUGCCAAGCAAAACCAUGGGUCAUAUUCAGUUUCUGAAACAACAGAACAAACAAGUUAUGAAACUUUUACACAUGAACACCUAAAAUUCCAAUCAAUCCUAACGAAUAAUAAAUUCACAUAUCUACCUUUUUUUUUUUAAAUUCACGUCAAUAUUAUAAAAUUAAAGAAACCAAAUUAUACUAAAUUAAAAUAAAAUGAUAACAGAUCGGGAUUAAAACCAUAAUCAAACCAUUGAAUCCAUCAUCAACUUUAGGAUUUCCUCUCUUCUCCCUAGCACCAAUGUCCAAACCUAAUAACUUAAAAAAAUUCAAUCAACAAACAGAAGGCGAAUUGGAGGCAGAAAUACCUAAAAGAAACAUUCAAAUGCAAGCUGUAAUGGUAUCCAUAGGAAGAAGAAAAUAGUAAGGUGUUACAGAUAAUUUAAAAUGUAAAAGUGCCAAGCAAAACCAUGGGUCAUAUUCAGUUUCUGAAACAACAGAAAUCUCUAACCACCAACAACAAAAUAUCAAGAAACACUAGGAUCCAAACCACACCAACAAAAAUCUGCAAAAACCUUAAAAUAGUAACCCCUAUACCUUAAACUCUAAACCACAUAUACCCUAAACCAAAAACCUUAAACUAUAGUGAUAGAUCUCUUUUUACGAUUAUAUAAAAAAUUAUUUAAUAUGUAAAUGAAAAAACACUCAGUAAUGUACCCAAAAAACUUUUAAAAAACCAAAAAAAUUAUUUAAUAUGAUAAAUCUGAGCAUUAGCGGCGCUUCUUCAUAAACGCCGCUAAAAAUAGAGUAUUAGCGGCGCUUCUUCAAAAACGCCGCUAAAGCCCUGAGCACUAGUGGCGCUUCUUUAAAAACGCCGCUAAAGCCCUAAGCAUUAGCGGCGCUUCUUCAAAAACGCCGCUAAAGCCUCGAGCAUUAGAGGCACUUUUUAAAAAAAGCCGCUAAUGCCCCCAAAAACUCAAAAAACGAUUGGACUUAGGUUUUUUGCAGCGCUUUUUGGAAAACGCCGCUAAUGCUCAUUUUUAGUGGCGUUUUUUAAAAAGUGCAGCUAAUACUCGAUCUUUAGUGACGUUUUUUUUAAAGCGCCACUAAUGCUUGAUUUUUAGUGGCGUUUUUUAUCCAAACGCCGCUAAAAGCCUGUUUCGGUGUAGUGUUCGUUAUCUUGGAAUUAAAAAAGUCGUGUUCUUAACUUACGGAAUAUGACUUCUUUCUAAAACCAAGAUAGUCGAAUAUUUACCUUAAAAUAAAUAAAAACGGGAUUUAAGUGAUGAUCAAUAUGGCGUUCAUUCUUGUUCUCGAGGAUUUAAGGCGUUGUGUCCUAACUUACGGGAUUAACUCGAAAUAAGCUUCCUUUUUGUAAAAAUUAAUUUAGUUAAAUAAUGUAUCAAAAAGGGAUCGUGUUUUAAAUUCUCUUCAAGUUUUUAAUUUUCGACAUUAAGAUAUCAAGUAAUCAAUUAGGUAACAAUUUUGGACGUAACGAGGGUGCUAAUCCUUCCUCGUGCGUAACCGACUCCCAAACCCAUCCCUUGAAUUUCGUAGACCAAAAAUCACCGUUUUAGUAAUUCUAAACUUUUAUUAAAUUGAUCAUAUUUCGAGGUGAUCCGAUCACACCUAAUAAAAAAGAUCGGUGGCGACUCUAUUUUCAUUUUUCAAAUAAAAAGUCGAUUUCAAAAAAUAGUUUCGACAAUGAUGAUGAUUGAAUUAGUAAUUUUUUUUAUUUGUAAUUGUGGAUGUUUUUCAUUGUUUUGUGCCAUUUUCUUUGGCUAAUAAACUUUACCAGCUUCCUUGGUUUAAGGGAGAAAGAGUAGUAUACGUUAAAAAAAAGAAAAGGAAAAUGAUCAUUUUUGUAAUAAUUGACAAAAGAAAAUGUUAAAUUUUAUGAGAUAAAUUUAAUUAAAUGGUAUGUCAACAUUAAUUUAAAAUAUAACAUAGUAUUUUUUAAAAUGGCAUGUUGAAUCAAUUUAUCAUUGGUUAAAAACCUCAAACAAUUGAAACCUGAACUUUUAUGUAUUAUCCACUUAUUAAAUGCAAUAAUUCAAGUUUUUUAAAUUAUAAUAUGUUGGGUGAAAAUGUCAUAGUAUGUUUUAAAUUAAUAUCUCAUAUAUUGAGAGGAGAUCUAUUCUUUUUAGAGAAAUUUUCUAAGUGUUCCAACCCUUCGAUAGGUUGGUAUUGUUCUUGAAUUAAGGUUUUGUGUCUCGACCUUGAAAAGAGCUCAAGUCAAAAAUGAGAUUCAUAGAGCGAGAGCACCUUGUUAAAUUAUGCAGAGAUGAUAGCAUAUGUGUCCUUAAAUGCCAUAUGAGGGGCAAGGGUUCAAACUGUCCAUUUUUUAUAUUUUCAAUGUGUACGUACAUUUAAUUUUGUUUUUUUUACUUUUUUACAUAAUGACGCCUCGUGAUAUUUAAUGUCUACAAAAAAAAUAGACUAAAAAAAAUAUAAGAGAGGCACACUUUAGAAACCAAGUUGGAAAUUUGAGUAUACUUUAAUACCAAAUUUGGACCAAAAAAAUUUAGAUACCAAAAUAAGAAAACAGGUAUACUUUAAAAGUCAAACCGUGAAUUAAACCAAUAAAGUUGGCUUUUUAUUUCAUUAUGCAAAGGACUGUGAGGCUUUCAUUUGGAAGCCAAGGCAUCGUAAGUAGACUGUCAACUUUUAAUCCAAUUUUUUAACUGCUAUGCUACUUUUUAAGGCACCAUUUGGACGAAGAAACAGUAAAUCACAAGGCAAUGCUGUUGGUUGAUAAAAGAGCCAAGACCAAGAGGAAUAUUUUCUGCUUAGGCAGAAAUAGAACAUUAUGUUUCUUGUUUCUACCAUUUAAUAACACCUAACUUCACAGUUUCUUUGUUUGUCAGUGAAAUGAGGCUACUGAAUGGCAAAAUUAAUCAAGUGCAAGCUCUCUCUUGGAGCCUUUAUGCAUUAUGAGCUCUAAAUCUGAUCAGUCAUUUUGGGUUUUUCCCCUAAGAGACCAAAAUCAUCAGACAAAAGGACUUGGUGGGUUGCAUCAGUACCUGAUGUUGUUUAUGCCUAACUGUCCAAUUCUCUAAUGAAGAGGGGUAAGGUAAUGCAUGUAAAGAGGUACAGUGGAAAUGUACUGCAGCCAUAGGCAUGCAUUUUUCUGCCUUCUGUUCAAUCAUAUUCUCUGUUAAAAAAAAUUGGAAUGUAAAAGCUUGUUAUCAAUGUCAAUCAUUUUAAGCUUGUGUUAUUGUUCAUGAUCAUCUUUCGUUUUAUCUAAUACAUAAACGUUAUCUUUAGUUGUUUAAUUUGUCGCAGGUCUUGACUUGAAUUUCACAACCUCUGUCAUUUCAUUAGUAUUUGACUUAAAUUUAUCACUUGUAUUUUAGAGCAAAUUUAUCACAUGCUUUUUGUCAUAAAAUUCAUGCUAGUUUGCAUGUUAUUCACAGAUUGGAUUGAGAACAGGAUCAUGAUAUGGAAUUACAGCAUGUAUGUUAUUUAAUCAUAUAUCCGUAUGCAGCUGUUGAUUAAAGGUUAGUUGAGUUAAGCUUGCAACUUCAAAAUACUCAAGGAGCUACGUUCCCAGCUAAUAUUAUAAAGGCUCACUGGUUUAAGAUUGCAGCCUCUAGAACCACGCUCCCAGCUGAUAUUAUAAAACAGCUAGCGAACAUACGUUCUCAAUUGAUAUUAUAAAAGCUCGCUGGUUUAAGCCUCUAAAACAGCUCACGGACCUACGUUCCCAGCUAAUAUUAUAAAGGCUAACCAGUUUAAGAUCGUAACCUCCAUAGCAGCUCGCAAACCUGCGUUCUUAGCUGAUAUUAUAAAGGUUAGCUGAUUUAGGAUCACAGCCUUUGAACAGUUCGCUGAUUUAAAAUCAUAACUGAUAUCGAACAAUUUUCUCUGAGUCCGCUGAUUUACAAAUUCUUACGGGAAAUACAGUUUGCAGUGUUCUGCAUUACAAUUUUUGACUCUUGUUCCGCACUAUCAGACAACAAAAUUUGUUCAAUAAGGUUUCAAGUUAAAACUUAUAUAGUAAGCCCCAAAUUACGCACAUGAUAAGUGUAAACUUGUCUCAGAAGAGUCACUUUAUAACUCUUCUUCGACAAGAUGAGAGACAAAUUGUUAUAUUAAUAAUAAAAAUAACCAGACCCGGAAUCCAACUCGAUUACCCGACCUAUAUAAUAAAAUUCUAAGGCACGGUACUAAGGGGGGCUUCCUUUUCCUCUCUGCUUCUGGUUCUCUGCUCUUAGAGAAUUAAACCACUCAACCCUAUCUUCUUUCAUGAUUGUUGAUCCAGUGCAUCAACACCUUUUACUAAAUAAAUUAUCACUUAAAAUUGCGUGAAUCGUGUUAUCAAUUAUUUGUGAUUUAUCAUCGAAUCACAUAAAGUUGCAUAUGACUUACUUUAUUACGCAUAUAUCUAUUUGAAUAUUUAACUCAAUCACAUAAAUUAUAUGAAAAUUUUUAAUCGAUUUGAUUUGACUCGGACGGAUACUUAUCUUUUAUUUUUUACCUUAGAUCGAGUUCAAUAUGAACCCUAGUAUGUGACGCUGGAAGGUGAGUUUUGUUUACCUGAUAUGUAUGGAGUGAUUAAGAAGAUGAGCACAAUGACAGGGUCCUUGAGAACAUGGUUAAUGAGCACAAAAAGAAAAAAACAAAAAAAAGAUGAAGAUGAAGGAUGCUACAGGCAACAAUAAAUAAGAUUUGAUUGAUAUUUUACUUAAGAUUUAGCAAUAACGAGAUCUUGAGUUUUUAAUGGAGAAUGAUAACAUAAAAGCAAUCAUUCGAGUUAAUCAGAUUUAUGUUUGAUAUAUUGACCACGAAUAAAUUUAUAUACUAUUAAUAAAUUAAAUGAUGACACAUCAUUUGAAAUGAAAAAAAAAAAUUAAGUUUACUAAUUUUAAAUGAUGAAUUUUCAUUUGAUAUACUGACAGUACAAAUUAUCGUUUUAAAUAUUAACACUCAAUUUAAACUUCAAUUUCCAAUUCAUUAUAAUUUUAUUAUUAUAGGUGAUUUUGAUGUUUGGAAAAUUUAAAUUUAUUUUUAACAUAAUUUAAUAAUCAUCCUAUUUUGUAAUAUUAUUAACUAUAAUUAUUUCUAUCUAAAGUAAUUGGUAAUAUUUAUCGUGUAAAAAAUGUCUUGAAAAUUAUUUUUUUAAUUAUAGUUAAAUUCCAAACAAAAGAUUUUAUUUACAGAACAAUAAAAAAUUUUAAAAUAUUAAUUCUGUUAAAUAGUAAAUGUUAACUUAUUCCAAUUUAAUUGUUGACACCAUUUUUUGACAAAAACGGGGUCGACUUGGGUUUUGAAAAAUGAAAACGAAAGUGGAGUCGCCACCAAUUCUUUUUGAUGAGGUGUGAUCGGAUCACCUUAAAAAGUGGUUGUUUUUAAUAAACGAUUUGAUUUUAUUAAAACAAUGAUUUUGGUCCACGAAAUUCAGAAAAACAGGUUCGGGAGUCGGUUACGUACGAGGAAGGAUUAGCACCCUCGUAACGCCCAAAAUUGGUACCUAGUUGAUUAAUUAAUGUCUUAGAGUCAAAGAUUGAAAACUGUGAAGAGUUUUAAAAUACGAUCCUUUAUUUAAAAAAAAUUUGUAUAAAUCAAAUUACAUGUUAAGGCCCUCUCAUUUCGGAGAGAGAAAAUGUCAUACCCAAUGAGUUAGGGCAUGAUAUUUCACAUUCUAAAAAAUGAGCUUGUCCAAAAACUCGUGCAAAUAAAAUUUAAAAGGGUAUUCAAUUGCUUAAGUCAGAUUAAAAAAUCAUGGCCCAAUACGUUAGGGCACAAUUUUUCAAAAUUCUAAACAUUGAAUAUUAUUUUUAUUUAUUUUUUUUAAAAAAUCCUCAUUUCGAGAAAACAACGUGUUAUAUCCAAUGCGUUAGGACACAACGUGUCGAAUUCUCGAAAAUAAGCUUUUUAUGUUUUUUUUAAAAAGAGUAAUCUCAAUUAUUUAGAUUCAAUGAAAGAAAUCGGAACCCAAUACGUUAGGGCUCGAUUCUCUCGAAGAUCCUAAAUACCGAGUAUUACUUAUAUUUUUAAAAUUCUUUUUUUUAAUUUGGGUAAAAAUUGACGUAAUGGAAUGACAAUUAUGACGAUAUAAGUAAAAUAAUACAAGCAAGGUCUACAAAAUAAAAUAAAUACAAGGACAAACUAAUAUAGUACACAAUAGCAAGCGUAUAAGUAAUAAAAUUAAAACAUUCAUUCUUAAUAACGUGAAUACGAAUAAAGAAAUAAAUAAAGAAAAUGAAUAAAAUUAUGAAAAUGUAAAAAGAUAUAUAUAUAUAUAUAUACACAAAAUCAUAGAAAUGUAAAAAAUAUACAUAUAUGUGUAUUUUUAAAAAUAUUUUAUAAAACAAAAAGUAAGUAAGCAAAUGCAUACAUAUACGUGCAUAGAAAUNNNNNNNNNNNNNNNNNNNNNNNNNNNNNNNNNNNNNNNNNNNNNNNNNNNNNNNNNNNNNNNNNNNNNNNNNNNNNNNNNNNNNNNNNNNNNNNNNNNNNNNNNNNNNNNNNNNNNNNNNNNNNNNNNNNNNNNNNNNNNNNNNNNNNNNNNNNNNNNNNNNNNNNNNNNNNNNNNNNNNNNNNNNNNNNNNNNNNNNNNNNNNNNNNNNNNNNNNNNNNNNNNNNNNNNNNNNNNNNNNNNNNNNNNNNNNNNNNNNNNNNNNNNNNNNNNNNNNNNNNNNNNNNNNNNNNNNNNNNNNNNNNNNNNNNNNNNNNNNNNNNNNNNNNNNNNNNNNNNNNNNNNNNNAUAUAAAAUAUAACAUACAUGAGUCAUAAACUAGGGGUGAGCAUUCGAUCGAAUCGAAUCGAAUCGAAUCGAAAAUUUUCGAAUUAAUCGAGUUUUCGAAUCUCAUUUUAUCAUCCUAAAUUUAUUUGAAGUUUUCUCGAAUCGAGUCGAGUGAGAUGGAAUUCGAAUCGAAUCGAAUCAAAUAUAUUUGUUCGAGUUAAAUUUUAAAAAAUAAUUUUGGGUCCUUGUAACCAUUGUCACCCAUCGUAAUAAAAUUUGUCCACCUUAAUCAAAUUUUUUAUUAACUUUCAUCACCUCAUAAUUUAUUUAUUAAUUUUUUAUAUACUGGUUAGCUUAUUUGUUUGCUUAGUUGUUUCAAUUAUCUUCGGAUUCUUGUCACUAUGUAUUUUGGAAUUAAAAAUAUAUUAAAUAUAAAAAUAUGAUUUUUUAAUAAAAUUUAUUUUAAAAAUAAAAUUUGAAAUUGAUACCAAUAUAAAAUUUUAACACGAAUAUUUUAUGGCAUAAUUAAGAAUUCAAUUUUAAUAUAAAUAUUCAAUAUGACUAAACAAUUCAAUAAUAUAAAUAAUAUAAAAUGUGAAAUUUAAUUUAAUAAUAUAAAUAGUAUAUAUAAAUAAAAUUAUUACUAUUUAUGUUUAGUGAUUUUUUUUGGAUAAUUUUGAUUUUUUAUUUGAGAGUAAAGGGUGAGAAGUAAAAGUUUAGGGGGAAAAUAAAAAGUUUUGGGGAAUAAAAGUUUGAGGGAAAGUAAAUAGGGGGAGUAAAAUUUUGGAGGGAAAAUAUUAAAAAAAAAUUGGAGGGGGGAGGGUUUGGGGUAGAUGGGAGGUGGGAUGGGAAGAAAAUAAAAGUUUUAGGGGAAAAGUGGGAGGGAGUAAAAAUUUUGGAAGAAAAUAAAAGGUUUUGAGGGUUUUUGAGAGUAAAAUUUUGAAAAAAAAAUGAAUGGAAGAGUAAAAUUUUGGUGGAAAAUGGAUUUUGGGUAGAUUGGGGGGUUGGGAGGGGAGGGGAGUAAAAGUUUUGGGGGAAAAGUGAGAAGGAGUAAAAGUUUUGAGGGAAAAGUAAAAAAGUUUGAGAGUUUAGGGUAAAACUGUAAAAUAUUAUAGUUGGAUAUUCGAAUUAUUCGAAUUAUUCGAGUUAUUCGAAUUCGAAAACUCAACUCGAUUCGAACUCGAAAUUUGAAAAAAAAAAUUCAAGUUGAUUCGAAUAACUCGAUUAACUCGACGAAUUUUUUUUCGAUUUUUUCGAGUCGAAUCGAAUUUUGCUCACCCCUACAUAAAACAUAGAAAACAUCUACAAGAAAAUGUAUAUUUUAAAAGCAUAAAAAAAUGUAUAGGUAUAUAUAUUUAUGGAGAUAGGAUAUGGGUAUAGAUAUAUAGAUAUAUAAGUUAUAAAAUAUGAAGAGUAUAUAAGUAUGUACAUGUAUAUAGUAAGGCUUAGAAUCAAAAGAUAUGCAUGAGCACAUGGUAAUAAUAAUAAAAAUAAAAAUAGUUAUAUUAAUGAUAUUGUAUGAAAGUAAUAACAAUAAUAAAACAAUUAAUUAAAAUAACAAAUGGGGGACUAAUUUGAAAUUAAACAAAGUCUAUGGGCCAAAAUCAGAAAUGGAAACAAAGAAAAGGGUUAACUUGAAACGCGCGAAAGGAGGGCGACCAAAAGGUAAUAUUCCCACAUUGAUCAAACGGUGCCGUUCUGGUAAGGCCGUGCGCAUGGUCUCUGGACCAUAUUGAAACAAAAGCCAAAACUUGGAGGCCAAAAUCAAAUAAAACAAAGGACCAUAUUGGUACAAAAUGCAAAGGCGAAGGGAUCUAUUGUGAAAAUAGCCCCUCAGGUGAAAAACACGCGGAUCCCUUUGCUGGAACGGGUCGGGUUUUCGGUUUUUAGGUAAAACGGCGUCGUUUUGGUCCUCAAUGCUCAAGCCCAAAACGGCGCCGUAUUGUAGCCUGUAUAAAUGUCAAAAAAAGAAAAAAAAACCAAUCUCCCCACUCCAUUUUUCAGAAAAAGAGAACUCUCUCUUUGUUCUCUCCAUUCCUUCCCCAUCCGGCAACGCCGCCGGCCACCAGCACCCUGUCUCCGCCGUGGGCGGUGGUCAGAGUGAUAAAAAUGGUUUUUGAACCCCAUUUCAAAAGCUGAAAGAAGGCCGAGCCUUCAUAGACCGAAGGCCAAAGGGAAAGAUCCCUGCGCCCUCUCUCGGUCCGUGUAAGGCGACAGAGAACCACCCUCCGACAGUGCGGUCACAGGGCGUCUCCGGUAUGUCUUUCUUCCCCCUUUUAUUUACUACUUUUGUUUACAUAUAUGAGUAAAAAAACGAAGGAAAGAAAAAGAGGAAAUAGAUCUAUAAAAUUGAAAAGAAAAAUAUAUCACCUUGAAUGUUUUUCUUGCUUUUUUUUUUUUUAUUUCUUUCUGCUAAUGUGUGUGUGUGUGUGUGUGUGUGUGUGUUUUUUACAAAAAUCAAAAGAAGAAGAAAGUUACAUUUUUCUUCGGCUUUGAUAGCCGAUUGCUACUGCUAUUGUUGUCCUUUGCUUGUUUUCUUCUUGCAGGUGGCUGAUGGGCACAAGUGGGGCAAUGGGACAUCCGGCGGUGGCCGAAGCUGCUGGUGAUGCGACAGGAGUGCGGCGGCCAGGAGCUAGGGUUUCAGAAAAGCUGAAACCCUAGUUUGACUUUGGUUUCUGCGUUUGGGUUUGUUGGGCCUUGGGUGUUGGGUUUGAUUGGGGUUGUGGUGUAAUGGGUUGGUAUUGGUUUUGUUGGUAUGGGCCCGGGCUAAAAUUGGGCUUGUACAUUAAUCUUAUUUAAUUAUUUUAAUAAUACAUGGACUAAAUUAAUUCAUUUCAUAAUAGAAGGUCGAAUUUGAUUAAAUUCUUAUAAUAGAGGGACUAUUCAAGUACAUUCACAUUUUUCCCCUCUAUUCGAGCCUUGUUAAAAUAAAUGAAACUUCAAUCAAAUUAAAGUUUUUAUACGAUAAUCAAAUGCUUAAGGAUAUUUUUUUAAAAUAAUUGCCUCGACAUUUUAAUAAAAUAGUUAAUAAUAUUAUGAGUUUAAACUAAUUAAUAACAUUAUAAAAUAUUAUGAAAUUAAAAUCAAAUCUGAAAUUAAUCACAACCUUGACAUAUUAUUAUAUGAUUAAUUGAUCUCCAAACAUGAAGUUUAAUGACAUUUUUCGAAUAGGGGUGAGUAAAAUUUAAAAAAAUCAAAAAAAAAUUGAAUCUCAAGUUAAUCGGAUCAAGUUAUUCAAAUUAUUUGAGUUUCAAUAUCAAAUCGAAUUAAAUUUUACAAUUUGAAUUACAUGAAUAAUUCGAAUAACAGAUUGGUAUAAAUAUUUUUUGGUCCCUGUCAAGCUUGAAAAUGAGCAAAUUGAUCUCUCUCAACAAAAAUUACAAAAAAAAUUUAAAAUAAUUUUCAAAUUUUUAAAUAUUUAUAAAAAUUUCAAAAAAUAAAUAUAUAUAAAAUAUAUAAAGAAAGUUAAAAAUUAAAAAUUUUCUAGAAUAAUAAUUUGGGAUCUAAAUAAGUUAAUUAAUUAUUCAAAUUUAUCAUACUAAAGUAUUUUAUUAUUAUUUUGCUUUGAAUUUUUUUUCAAAUAUUUAUUGUUUCAAUUUUAUGUGCUCUAACAUUGAAUUAGUUAUACUGUAAUAAGAUUUUAAUUUGACAUGUUUAAUUUUUUAAUUUAACUUGAAUAAUUUCACUCGAUUCGAUUCGUCUCGAUUCGAAAAAAAUUUAAAUCGAGUUAGGAUGCUAAAAUAGAACUUGUCAACUCAAUUAAUUUAAAAAAUUUUCACUCGAUUCGAUUGAAUACUCACCCCUACUUUAAAACAGAAAGUGAGACAUGAUGCAGCAACAUUACACUGGGCCAUGUCUGAAAUAGUGAAAAACGAUCAUGUAAUGAAAAUGGCUAAGUAACUAAAGCAAGGAUCCAUGAACUGAAAUUCUGGAGAUCAAUAGUGAAAGAAACCUCAAGGCUACACCCACCUGUUCCUUUGAACAUCAGACAAAAUAUUGAGAAUUGUGUGUAGGGGUGAGCAAAAUUCGAUUCGAUUCGAAAAAUUCGAUAAAAAAUUUAAAUUUUGAAUUAAAUAGUUCGAGUUAUUUGAGUUAAUCAAGUUAUUUGAAUUAACUCUUAUAAAAAAAUUAAGUUUUUCGAUUUAACUCGAAUAUAAAUUACACAAUUCGAGUUACCGAAAAUACGAAUAAGAAAAGAAAAAACUACGUGUUUUGAUAAAUGUUUAUUUUUUAAAAAAGUUAAAAUUUAAAAUAAUUAAGUUAAAAGGCAAAACUACGUUGUUUUGAUAAAUGUUUACUCAUUAAGUUAAAAGGCAAAAUCAUUAUAUUGUUCAUAUAGUUAAAUAAUCUUGUAAUUUAUCUACUAGUUAAAUAACCAGUCCAUCUAAACGCAACAUUAAGUAUAAAUAAUAGAAUUCGUUAACUCGACUCGAUUUGACUCGAAAUUUUUUGACUCGAUUCGAUUCGAAAAAAAUUUCAAAUUGAGUUUGGUUGCUAAAAUAGGAUUUGUCAACUCGACUAAUUUAAAUUUUUUUUACUCGAUUAGACUCGACUUGAUCAAAUACUCACCCUUAACUGUGUGAUCAAUGGCUAUGGCAUCCCUUCAAAGUCCAAUGUUCUCAUUUAAUGCAUGGCCAUAUAAAGGGAUCCUUCUUGUUGGGGAAAAGGUGAAGUGUUUUGGCUGAGAGCAGCUCUAUUGGAGGUUUUAAUGGAGGAAAGCUUGAGUACAUGCAUAUGUAUAUACCAUUUGGUGGUGGGGAAGCCAAAAAAAUUGUUAGAAGGAAGAAUGAUUUGGUCUUAUUCUCGUACCUUAUUCUUUUUCAUCCAACUAAUAUGGUUCUGUAGAGGUCUUUGUACUAUAGCAUGGAAUGCAUUUUUAGUUUCUACAAGUAAAAUAUUCUCUUACGUUAGAAAUACAUGCAAAAUGAUCAUUUCUAUAACAAUUGAAGGGAAAAAAACAGUUAGUUUUAUGAGGUGGAAUUAAUUAAAUGAUGUGGUAUUCAUGUAAGAUAUGACUGAGUUGUUCACUUUUAUCUUUUGUACCUUAAUUCUGACUAUUACAUUUAUCCUGUCCUUUUUCUUUUUAUUUUGAAUGUAACAAACUUAAAGUGUUUACAUCAAACUAUUAAAAAUAAAAGAAGCCAUUUGCUUUAUCUAAACCUAAGUAUUGUAAAAUCUCCUUAGGAAUCUCCUAAAAAAUUUGGACACCUUCCUUAUUAUCAGAAAUCAAUUUGGCAAUCCCAUCGGCAACUUGAUUAUUCUUCCUGGGAGCAUACUUGAGAAACCACAAUCUUCCAUAUUUUAAUAUAUGUUUGGUUCUUCUAACCAAGGCUGAAUUUGCAUCCGUUGAUUGCCCAUCUUCAAUGACUUUAAUCAUUUCCAUGCUAUCCGUAUGAAUCAACACUCUCUCAUAUCUUCGUUUGUUUAAAAUAGUUAACCCAUCCAAAAUACACAUCCCUUAAGUAAUGGUUAUAACCAAGAAUCUAAUCCCCAACCUAAUUUCACAACACUCCCCCGACCAAUGCAUAUUCCCCGAUUUCAUAUCUUAUUCAUCGAUUAAAUACAUACAGCUACAAUCGAGUAAAUGAAUAUGCCACCUCAUAUAUUGAACUUAUGUUGUAUCAUUUAAUUGAGUUAAUCUCAUAAAAUUAAAAACUUUUUAUCAACUAUUACCAAAAAUAUGAUCUUGUUAAUUUAUCUACCUACAAGGAUCUUUAUGUUUAUUUUUAAAAGUAUAAAAACUAAAUGCAUUCUUCAUUAUGGUACAGGGACCGAUAUAGUAUUUUUACCAAUAAUUCCCUAAUGGAAAAUUGGAAAUUUGCUUGGUUGUAUAUUAAUAAAAUCAAAAAAAAAGAAGUCAUUUGUGAAUCCAAGGCUUGGUUCAGAAUCGAAUCUCAACAUUGUAUCUCCAUAUUUUUAUUUUUAUUUCUUUGUCCCCCGAUUUAUUUGCAUUUUAGCAUUUGCAGGGACUUCCAUUUUUCAAAUAAUUGUUGGAAACUGAAAAUUGGAUCAAUUAAACUACUAAUAUAUCCUUCUUUCCUUGAUCCCAAAGCAAAGAUGCUUUUCAACCAAGGUUGACUGCGCUAAAUGUUUUUAAGUUUUAAAAUAUUAUAGUUGAGUCCUUAAAAUAUUAGUAUUACAUCAAUUACGUCCUUAUGCCAAUUUAGCUUAUCAGCAUGGGUUGCAAGGGCAACAUUAGAGGAGGACAAGCAGGGCCAUGGUCCCUCCAAAGUGAAAAAUUGCUCUUUUAUUUCCUUUAAAAAUAAUAAAAUUUUAAAUUAAUUUAAUUGUAAAAUUUUAUGACCCUUCUAAAAUUUAAAAUUGAAUUGUUUAUAGUUUAAUUUCUCAAGAUAUUGUAAAAUUUUAUGUUUAUAUAGUGAUAAAUUUACAUUUUAGCUCUCUCAACAAUUUAUAAUUCAAACCCAGCCCUCCCUCAGGAAAGUAUUUCUAGCUUCGUCAUUGCUUGGUCAAAUUAUAAACAUAUGUUUAACAUCAUCUUUGGUAUGACGUGUUUUAAAAAAAAAAGCCCUCUAAAAUUUUAAUGUUAUUUUUUAAAAUACAUCAAAUAUGGACCGAUAUUGAUGGUUAAACCGGCGAAAAGACCUAACUAAUAUAAUACUAGUAUUUUGAAGAUUAGGUUAAAACAUUUUUGAAAUGUAGGACCAAUUUAAAAUCUCAAGAUAAAUUGGGGGAUAGUUUAGUGAAUUGAACAAUUUCAACUAUUCCAAGUUUGCUUUGGUGGUUGGAGCCGGCAGUCCGCAGUAGCAUCUUUGGUUUCAUCAACUGCAAAAUUUGUUGACAAGGAGAUUUUAUUUAACAGCUAGUCAUAGUUUUGCUUGGCAGCGUGGAAAAUAGGAAACUACAACUUGAUAUUUUCUGAGUCCAAGUUUUAAUUAUUAACGUUUAUAGUUUUUUUUGUUAAUAUAAUUUUUUAAUUAAAUUUAGCUCUUAAUCUUUUAAAAAGAGUUAAAUUUAAUUAUUAAUUUUUUUAAAAAGAGUUAAAUUAAAUUUUUUAAUAAAAAUAUGAAUUAAAAAAUUAAAAUUUUAAAUACAGCAACUCCUGUAGCAGUCAAAGUGCAUUUCAUGCUUCUUCUUUUUUAAUUUUUAUGAAAAUUUUAUAAUUUUUUUGAGUUGAGAUUUUCUUUUGAAUUUUUUUCAUAAUUUUAAAUUAUUUGUUGACGUGGUAUAUAAGAUAACUAUUGUCAUGUCAGAUUGUUCACGUGGAUUGACACGCGGGUUGUCGUGUCAAUUUCAUUAAAAAAUUAAUGUUUUAGUCAACAUAAUUUUAAAAAAAAGUAAUUUAACUCUUUUUAAACGUUUAAUGCUCAAAUUUAGUUAAAAUAAAAAGAAGUAAGAGUUGAAUUGACAGAAAAUACAAACAUUGAGGGCUAAAUUCGUUAUUGUACCUUUUUAAAAAAAACAAAUUUUUAUUCAGGGUCAAUAGAAAUGAGAGUUUAGAACUAUUAAUGGGUUGGUUAGGGUCAAGCCUCCACUAGGUUCCAGAUUUUUUUAUUUUACUGUUGGCAAAUUUAUAAAAUAUUUUAUAUUAAUAUUUAUAUAUUUUUUAUUUAAAUUAAAUGUCAAAUCAGGUUAGCUUGAGAUAUAAAAAUCUUCAUCUAAGUCCGAAUCUAGUCAUGUCAGGCCUAUCGGAUCAGGUGAGCUUCCCAGCCCAUAAAUAGGUCUAAUGAAAGUUAAUUAAGCUUCGUUCUCUCCAAAUUUUUGACAUUUUUUUUUAAAACUUAGUGUUUAAUUAAAUUGACAUGUUCAUUUUAAAAUUUAUACCUUCAUAUAUAUAUAUAUAUAUAUAUUUUUUUUUUUUUCAUGAUAAAAUGCCAUGAAAGGCAAGUAAUCUUUUAAGAUUAUUACAUAAAUCCCAUACGUUAAAAUUAAUAAAUUAUGUCAUUAAUUAUAUAUUAAUCCAUAUAAAAAGAAAGGUCCUUUGGAUUUUCCUUGGUUCACACGUGAAUUAACUUCCUCUUUUCUUUUUCUUUUUUGCAGUAUAUAGUAAAAUCGUCAAUUUUAAUACAAGAUUUUAAUCACGUUAAUAAUUGAAUUUAAAAUUUUAAAAUUUAAAAAUAGAGGGAUUAAAUUUCUAAAAAUAAAAGUAUAAAGAUUAAAUUACAAAUAUACAAAUAGUGCAAAAACUUAACUAUAUUUUAAUAUUUACUUUAUAAUUUAAUUAAAAAUAAUUAAGAAUUAACCGAACAUGAACCAGGAUAAAAUAUGUAUAAGUUAGUAUUAAGGGUUUUUACUUAGAUAAUACAAAAAAAAAAUGAUAUUGUGACAUGUUAUAGAUUAUUUACGAGAAUGAUAUGUUUUCUACAAUAAAAUUAGGUGUUUGUCAACCUGUCGAUGGCAUCACCUAUAAAAUAUAAUAUUUUAAUAAAAUAAAUAAAAUAAUAAAUUAAAAGCAAUACUUUAAUCUAAAAAAGGGUGACGCCAGAUACCCAUUUUUCUUAUUGACUUUUUACCCUUUUUUUUUUUUAAAUUUGGGAUGGUUGUGGUAUUAUUUUGAAUUUCAUACCUCUAUUUUAUAGAAAUUAGAAAUAAAUCCAUUUAUUUUAAUUUAUUAUAAUUUAAUCUUUGUAGGUUUUCAAAGUUGAUUAACUUUUUAAAUUCGAAAACUUACAAAGGCCAAAUUAUGGUAAAUUAAAAUAAUAGUUAAAAUCGAAAACUUAGAUUAAAUUAUGAUAAGUUAAAAGAAAUGGACUAACUUCUAAUUUUCAUAAAAUAAAGAUAUAAAAUUUAAAAUUAUACCACAAUCACCUUAAAUUAAAAAAAAUGUAAAAAAAAUAGGAAGAGUAGUGCGGCCUGAUACUUUGGGUCACCCUUUUUUUAGAUUAAAAUAUUAUUUUUUAGAUAUAUUUUUAUUAAAAUAUUGUUUUUUAUAAGUAAUAGGAUAUUAUUCUCCUAAAUAAUUUAUAACUCUUUUCUUUUUAGACAUUGUCCGUGAGAUCCUAUAUUUUCACAUGUACAGAUCUGAAUUUUGAAGAAUAGAUUGAGAGUAUGGACAAUUCAACCUACAAGAACAAAAAAUCCACCAAUUUGAAUUUUACAAAAGAUGGAUAGAUGGUGACCCAGACAUUGGGACCACUAGGGGAAGAUAAUGGAAAAUUUCUUUAUUCAUGUGUUUACUCCCUGGAAGACAAGUUUCUGACUACAGAAUCCCCAAAGUUUGCAUUGCAUGGUGUGCUGAGUUGCUGACGACCAUGUUUUUGGCCUUCUCUCUUCUUUGAUCACCCUCCACCAAAUGGCAUAUAAUGUGAAUGUGACUCAGCUGCAUAAACCAUCGUUGAAAAAUGUUCAAUUCAGUCCUCAAACUAUGACUUGCAUUUCAAAUUCAUCUCCAAAGUCCAAACUAUAAACACUUGAAUCUACGUCUUAGAAAAAGUAAUUCUCUUAAAAUUUAUUGAUUUUCUUUUUAAAAACACAUUAAAUGUAAGCUAUUCAAUCUAUAGUUACAUAGGUUUUUACAAUUUGAUAACUACACAGGCAAAAGAAUCUUAUUGUGAUAAUCUGAGAACCCAGUAACUAUUUGAGGUAUGUGGAUCAAUUUAAAAUUUUAGCAAUAAUUUAGGAAUAUUAGUUGAAAUUAAGUCCUUCGUUCUGUCCCUAGUUCCUGAUAAUUAGUAUUUUGUUAUUUGUGGAAAACUGACAAUAAAGUUAAAAACAGACUUUGAUAAUUGAUGCUCUAUUUUAUAUUUUCAGAGUCAAAAAUCACGUCUUUCCCCGAAGGCCACUCCAGUCUCCAACUUCCUUCUUUACGUCUUUUUCUGAGGUUCAGUGCCUUUCCCUUCUGCUCUCUCCGCUUCCAAUCUUGCUCUCCACGCAUUUCUCUUCUCCAAGUAUUUUUCUUGGUCUUUCUUUUUUAGUCUCAUUUGUAUAUAAACACAAAGCCAGAAGCCUUCAAACACUUGAAACCAAUCAAAACUUGUAUCCAAACACACAAAACCCAAGUUUUUUCUUCAGCCAAAGCUCCAAAAAAGAUGGAACUUUUUGCUUCACAAUCAUCUUUACUUAUGAGUUCAGCUACUAGUUUUGAUUUUCUACUAAAACCCAUUUUUCUUCAUGGGUUUUCUGCUUCAUUACACUUAAUUCUGUUGCUUUUAUUGUUAAUCUUGUGGAUGGUGAGCAGGAUUAAAAAAGUUAGUAGGGAAGGUUCAAAGGAACGACAGAUUUUAUGGUAUAAGCAAACAUUAGCUUGUUGUUUUGUUGUUUCAGUUUCCAAUGUUGUCUUGUGUUUGUUAAGUUAUUUUUAUUGGUAUACAAAUGGUUGGUCUGAGGAUAAGUUGGUGAGUCUUAUUGAUUAUGCAUUGAAAGCACUUGCUUGGGGUGCAUGUGCAACAUGUGUUUGCUUGCAAUGUCAAUUCUCCAAUCCUGGUGAACAAAAGAGGUUCCCUGUUGUGUUGAGAAUUUGGUGGGGUUUUUACUUUUCAAUUUCAUGUUAUUGUCUUGUUAUAGACAUUGUUCUCUUCAAAAAACAUGUUUCUUUCCCAACCCAGUAUUUAGUAUCUGAUGUCUUGUCUGUUGUUACUGGUUUGUUUCUAUGUAUUGUUGGGUUCUUUGUAAGAAAUGAGGGUGAAGAUACCCUCCUUGAGGAACCCCUUCUAAAUGGAGAUUCUAGUGUUAGUAAUGGUGUAGAGUUGAGUAAGGAAAAAGGGGGUGAUACUGUAACCCCAUAUUCAAAUGCUGGUAUUUUCAGCAUUCUUACAUUUUCUUGGAUGGGGCCUCUCAUUGCUGCUGGCAAUAAGAAACCAUUAGACCUUGAGGAUGUUCCUCAGCUAGAUAGCCAUGAUAGUGUUAUUGGGGCUUUUCCAAAAUUUAAAAACAGGCUUGAAUCAGCUGAUAGUGAGGGGAAUGGUGUUACCUCACUUAAGCUGGUGAAGGUACUGUUCUUUUCAGCUUGGAAAGAUAUUCUUUGGACAGCUUUGUUUGCAUUUACGUACACGGUGGCUUCAUAUGUUGGCCCAUUCCUCAUCGACACUUUCGUUCAGUAUCUGAAUGGGCAAAGGGAAUUUAAGGCUGAGGGCUAUCUUCUAGUUGCUGCUUUCUUUGUUGCCAAGCUAGUGGAGUGCUUGUCUCAGAGGCGCUGGUUCUUUAAGUUGCAACAAGUUGGACUUAGGCAGAGGGCUGUAUUGGUAGCAGUGAUAUAUAACAAGGGGUUAACCCUUUCGUGCCAGUCGAAGCGCAGCCAUACCAGUGGGGAGAUCAUCAAUUUCAUGACUGUUGAUGCAGAAAGGGUGGGUGACUUUAGUUGGUACAUGCAUGAUCCAUGGAAGGUAGUUUUGCAAGUUGCUUUGGCCUUGUUGAUCUUGUAUAAGACCCUGGGGAUUGCAUCCAUUGCCGCUUUUGUUGCUACUGUACUUGUUAUGUUGGCGAAUAUUCCUUUGGGGAAAAUGCUGGAGAAGUUUCAGGAUAAGUUAAUGGAAUCAAAAGAUACAAGGAUGAAGGCAACAUCUGAAAUUUUGAGGAAUAUGAGGAUUCUUAAACUGCAGGGGUGGGAAAUGAAGUUCCUCUCCAGGAUUGUCGGGCUCAGAAGCGUCGAGGAAGGAUGGUUAAAACGAUUUGUUUAUACAAAUGCCAUGACUGCUUUCGUUUUCUGGGUUGCACCAUCCUUUGUGUCUGUUGCCACUUUUGGUGCUUGUAUGUUCUUAGGAGUCCCACUUGAGUCAGGGAAGAUCCUAUCUGCACUCGCAACAUUCAGGAUUCUUCAGGAGCCAAUCUACAACCUUCCUGACACAAUCUCAAUGAUGGUUCAAACAAAGGUGUCACUUGAUCGAAUUGCUGCCUUCCUCCGGCUUGAUGACUUGCAGCCUGAUGCUAUAGAGAAGCUACCCAGUGGUAGUUCCAAUACAGCGAUCGAGAUUGCUGAUGGGAACUUCUCUUGGGAUACGUCAUCCCCUACUGCAACACUAAAAGAUAUAAACUUGAAAGUUUCCCAUGGCAUGAGUGUUGCUGUUUGUGGUACGGUCGGCUCUGGCAAGUCAAGUUUACUUUCCUGUCUUUUGGGAGAGUUACCAAAGAUAUCAGGAACGCUUAAGUUGUGUGGUACAACAGCCUAUGUUGCCCAGUCACCUUGGAUACAAAGUGGCAAGAUUGUAGACAACAUAUUGUUCGGUAAGGAAAUGGACAGAGACAAGUAUGACAAAGUGCUUGAAGCUUGUACCCUCAAGAAGGAUCUUGAAAUUCUCUCUUUCGGUGAUCAGACGGUUAUAGGCGAGAGGGGAAUCAAUCUGAGUGGUGGACAAAAGCAAAGAAUACAGAUUGCUCGUGCUUUAUACCAAGAUGCCGAUAUCUAUCUGUUUGAUGAUCCUUUCAGCGCAGUGGAUGCUCAUACCGGAUCUCAUUUAUUUAAGGUAAUGUCUUCUUAAUGAUCACAUGGCAUGCAUUUUAAGAGUCGCUAUAGUUAAUUUAGUUGAAAUAGUUAUGUAUGAGCUCUGAGUAUCUUGUUUACUCUUUUGAAUGGCAGGAGGUUUUACUAAACAAUUUGAGAUCAAAAACAGUGAUUUAUGUCACUCAUCAAGUUGAGUUUUUACCAGCUGCUGAUUUAAUUUUGGUAAGCUAUUAUUUACUUUAUUUUCAGUGAUUUUCAUCAUAUGUCUAAGAUUCAAGAAAUAAUUUACUAACUGGAUGCAACUUGUAUUUACAUAUUUGUUAGGUGAUGAAAGAUGGGAGGAUUGUUCAAGCUGGAAAGUAUAAUGAUAUUCUCAAUUCAGGUACUGAUUUUAUGGAACUUGUGGGUGCACAUAAGAAAGCUUUGUCGGCCCUUGAUACUGUUGAAGCAAGUUCGGUUUCUGAACAAACUACCAGCGAAGGAGAAAGUGAUAUAGGUACUAGUAAUGGGAAAGUGCAGAAACAAGAAAACCAAGAUAAGCAGAGCUUUAAAGUAGAUGAUGUCGGACCAAAAGGACAGCUUGUUCAAGAAGAAGAACGAGAGAAAGGACAAGUCGGGCUUUCGGUCUACUGGAAGUACAUCACAACAGCAUAUGGAGGAGCUCUUGUGCCUUUAAUACUGCUUGCUCAGAUUCUCUUUCAGAUUUUUCAAAUAGGCAGCAACUAUUGGAUGGCUUGGGGAUCACCGGUGUCGGCAGACAUAAAGCCUCCUGUUGGGAGCUUGACACUAAUCAUGGUCUAUUUGGCUUUGGCCAUUGCAAGUGCCAUUUGUGUCUUUGCCAGAUCCAUUGUUGUUCGUAUAGCUGGAUAUAAAACAGCCACUCUUCUCUUUAAAAAGAUGCAUCUUUGCAUUUUCCGAGCUCCUAUGUCUUUCUUCGAUUCUACACCGAGUGGAAGAAUCCUCAACAGAGUAAGCAUCUAAUGUUUUUCCUGUAUGGAUACGAAAGAUUCAAUUUAUCUUCAUGUUUGUUGGCAUUUUUCCCCUUGUUUUUGAGGUAUUGUAAACUUUUUUACUGCCUCUUAUAGGCUUCUACAGAUCAAAGUGCAGUAGAUAUGAACAUCCCGUAUCAAGUUGCCUCAUUUGCUUUCUCAGUUAUCCAGCUACUUGGAAUCAUUGCAGUCAUGUCUCAAGUUGCUUGGCAGAUCUUUGUCAUUUUUAUUCCAGUGAUUGCUACCUGCAUUUGGUAUCAGGUAACUCUUGCUGAAUUGUGGCUAAGCAAUGCAUGAAAUCAUGAACUUCUUACAAUGCAGCAACAUAUCUAAAAUCUCAAAUUUUCUACUUUGUAAAACUCAUUUAAUCAUUGCCUUAUUGCUGAACAAAGGAAUGCUCAUAAACUUGUAAUCUCGCAGCAAUAUUACAUAUCUUCUGCACGAGAACUUUCGCGGCUGGUUGGAGUAUGCAAAGCUCCAGUAAUACAGAAUUUUGCUGAAACAAUUUUAGGAGCAACAACUAUAAGGAGCUUUGAUCAAGAGAAAAGGUUCCAAGACACAAACAUGGUGCUGACUGACUCGUAUUCUCGUCCAAAAUUCCAUGUUGCCGGUGCAAUGGAAUGGCUGUGCUUCCGCCUGGACUUACUGUCUUCUGUUACUUUUGCCUUCUCUUUAUUCUUUUUAAUCUCUAUACCGGAAGGAAUUAUCGAUCCUGGUAAGUAAAUGCAGAUUCAUAUUGGCAGCUUUAUUGACUACUAGAUAACAAAUGUUCUGGGAGAAUGACUGUAUGCAUUUUUCUUUUGUUUAGCUAUUGCCGGGUUAGCUGUGACGUAUGGACUCAAUCUAAAUAUGUUGCAAGCUUGGGUGGUGUGGAAUCUUUGCAAUAUGGAGAAUAAAAUUAUAUCUGUUGAGAGAAUACUUCAGUACUGUAGUAUUCCUAGUGAGCCUGCCCUUGUGGUGGAAACGAAUCGCCCAGACCAUUGUUGGCCGUACCACGGAGAAGUUCAUAUUCGUGAUUUGCAGGUAAGGGCAGUGUUGUGGUGUUCUAUGAUUUUUUUUCUAAUGGAUUGGCCGUAUUAAAUAAACAAUGAUGGUCUCGAUGUAGGUACGAUAUGCCCCGCACAUGCCACUCGUGUUGCGAGGUCUGACCUGCACAUUUCCUGGAGGGUUGAAAACUGGUAUCGUAGGGAGAACAGGCAGUGGUAAAUCAACUCUCAUACAAACACUUUUCCGGAUCGUUGAACCUGCAGCAGGGCAGAUCAUAAUCGAUGGUGUAAACAUCUCAUCGAUCGGGUUGCAUGAUUUGCGUUCACGACUCAGCAUCAUCCCUCAAGAGCCUACCAUGUUUGAAGGGACUAUACGAAGCAACCUGGACCCUCUUGAAGAA